CAAAAAGAAAAAAAAAUAUGAUUGAUGUUGAAGGGUAGAUAUAAGGAUCAUUCAGGUUUAGAUGAUUAAAAGUAAGCACUUGGGAACCAUUGGGUAGUCAAGGUUUUAUUCAUGUAUGCAUUUGUUGGUCCUUACCUUUAGCAUUCUCCCUAAAGCUCAAUCCAUUCAUUGAGAGAUCCUUGUCCUGAAAUUGUUUAAACCCUCAUGAUUCUCAAAACCUUUUUCUGCCUAGCCAAGUGAGUUUGUUAAGCCUUGCACAACCAGAUUCAUAUACUUGAGUAAUGAAUGUUAAAAGGAAUGAAUGAUUUGAAUGCAUGUGUAGAUCAAGGGAUAGAAUCAGUUUUGGAUUUGAUGAGUUUGUCUAAAGUCUUUAAGUAAAGUUCUCUCAGCAUGCAUCAAAGACUUAGCAACCAGGAUAUUGAUUUUAACUGCUCUAUCUUGCAAGUUACAGGUUCUAAGACCCCAUUUUCAAACCUCUCUUCCAUUUUGUUUCUUUUUGCUUUGCUUGAGGGCAAGAAAAGACUAAGUUUGGGGGAGUUGAUAAGUCUGUAUUUCAUCACUUUUUGAGCAUGCAUUCAUCAUCUUUUCAGCAUCAUUCACUUGUUGAUUCGCAUCAUAUUAAUCCCUUUCUGCAUGUUUUACAUACUUAGGUAGGUUUUAUACAUAUCAUGCAUAUCUUGCAUACAUUGUGCAUAUUUGGAGUGUUUCAGGUACUUAGGAGACAUGCAGAGCGAAGCAGAGGAACAAGCGUUACUCGACAUGCAUACGAUCGAGUGGGACAAUUGAGUGAGAAGCAAGGAUGCGUUGCAGGAACAUACUUCACUCGAUGGACACGAUCGAGUAGGAUGAUCGAGUAGGCAGUAGAGAUACAUUGCAAAUACAUCGACGAUCGAGUGAGCAGCAGAAGGGACGCGAAGCAGAACCACCUGUCACUCGAUGCACACACUCGAGUGACAUGAUCGAGCAAAGCAAAGAAGUAGCUGAUGAUUUCACAGAUCACUCGACACGUUCACUCGAGGUACACGGUCGAGUAUGAAAUGAUGCAGAGAAGAAAUUAAGUGUUACUCGACACGCUCACUCGACCGACAGGGCCAUUACAACCUUUAAACCGCUUUUACGUUGUCGUUUUAUGUUUUAAGGUUUUCCCAAACAUUGUUAUAAAUAGGUCUCAUUUGGUUUGCCCAAGGGAUUGAGUUUUUAUUUAGGUUUUUGUUGUUAGCUACCAAACAAUCCAGAAAAUUGUAAUUUAUAUUUCUUUUGAGUUAUUGAGAUUUUGCACUAGUUCUGAAAUCAUUGUUGUUACUCUUCCUAUCAUCCUUAUUAUUAUGCAUGUUUUGAACGAUUCGUGUUUCAUGAUGUUUAACAUGAUUUCUGCGUCUGAGUAGUGUUAGGGUUCUUGAGGAUGGGAUAGAUUAGGUGGAGGAUGUUAGUUUGCUAGAGUGUUUAUGUUAGAUUCGUUUUGUUUCCCUUCUGGACUAGAGUUUUAUUAGCUAGUUCUUCUCUGAUCAAUUGGAAUUGGGUCAUAGACAUUUCAUACCCGAAAGGUAUAUGAUGAAAUGUCUGAACCAACUAGUGCCAGAGAUUUACAGGCUUAGCCCAAGAGAUUGGUUGUCUAAGAUGUUUAUUGACAUUAAUGAGCAGUUUAUGUAUGCAUGUUUACUACAUGUUUCAUCAAUGAGAAUUGAGAUUAGGAAGUGUUGUAAACUUGAUAGUUUCUGGCAAGAGAUUGGAUUGACUAGUAUUAGAAGUUCAUUGUCUAGGGAUUAGAAUGUUUGCAGUUUGAUAAACACUCGAAGUAGAUUAGCAUACUCCACCUACAUCAAUAACCUCAUCCUCGGGAUCUUCUAUCCAUUUGUGCUUUCUGUUUAAUUCUCUUGUUAUUUACUUGUUUUGCUUUGUUUUCUUGCCAGUAUCAAUAAUCGUUACGUUUUAGCUCAUGCAUGGUAGUCUAUGUUUUACAGCCUUACAUUUAUCGCAUGUUUAACAUGUUCGCUUAGGAUCACUGAAAACCAAAAAUCAUUUAUGCUUGCUUGACUUAAUCAUUUCUGAUAUAUCUUGAUUGCUAGCAUCACACCUGAUUGGAUUGAUACCUAUUGUACUGCAAUGACAUGAUAGUACUCUAGGGUAAUUGCUAAGAAAAAUCCUAGUAUCAAUUUGGUGCCGCUACUCGAUCACGUCCAUCGAGUGAAGUAUGUUCCCACAAUGCAUCCUUGCUUCUCACUCGAUCGCCCCCCUCGAUCAUGUGCAUGCCGAGUAACGCUUGUUCCUCUGCUUCGCUCUGCAUGUCUCCUAAGUACCUGAAACACUCCAAAUAUGUAGAAUGUAUGCAAGACAUGCAUGAUAUGCGUAAAACCUACCAAAGUAUGUAAAACAUGUAGAAAGGGAUCAAUAUGAUGCGAAUCAACAAGUGAAUGAUGCUGAAAGGAUGAUGAAUACACGCUCAAAAAGUGAUGAAAUACAGACUUAUCAGUGGGCCCAUGGGCUGAGAGUGAAUAUGGGGUCUGUAACUCCCUGAACCGUCUUACGGCCAGACAAGCCGACGGACGGCAUCGCCCGAACGCGCCCGGCUGAGGUUCCCGCGGAAGGAUACUGGUGAGGCAUGAUCCCCGAGCCGAAUACGUCCAAGACCAGCCGUCCCUCUUUGCCCUAUCGUCUUCUGGGGGUGUCAAAUAGGUAACCCAACCCGACCCGACCCAAAUCCACAUAGGUUUGGGGUUUUCGUGGGCGGGUAUAACCCGACCCAUUUAUUUUAAUGGUUUGAAUUUACAUACCCAAACCCAAUAAUGAAUAACCCGAUGGCUAAAUGGGUUAUAUGGGUUACCCAUUUAUGAAUAAAAUACACUAAAUUAAUUAAUAUUAAAACUAUAAUAUAUUAUUUAUAUUGUAGUUACAUCAUUUACAUAUAUAUAAUUUUUCACUUUUUUCUUUCCAGCAAAAAAGAGAAACUUCACAUAAUUUCUUUGACAUAUUUAUUAUUGUUUACUUUUUACUUUUUAUUAUUUUAACAAAAAGACAAACUUAACAUUUAUAAUAGAUAUUAAAUAAUUUAAGUGCAAAAAGAAAUUUUGUUUUUUAGUUAACCCAUGGGUUACCCAUAACCCUAAUGGGUUUACCCCGAUAAACCCAUGAACCCGUUGGACGAACCCAUUAAAACCGAUAUAUUUAAAUAGGUUUAAAACUUAACCUGUACCCACUAACAUAAUAGAAAGACAGCCUAAACCCAUGGGUAGCUACCCAUUUUGACAUGCAUCGAGCGUUCGGGCUUUGCAACCCUUCGGCCAACGCGGACGAGAGUUGUGCACUUCCACCAGCCCGGACAUGACCGAUAGAAGUGUAGUAUAUCAGCUCGAAACACCAUAAUUUUCCCAAAAACUUCAUUAUAGUAAAGUUAUACAAAACAAGUUACCAAAUUAAGUUUUAUAAGUUGGAUCCAUCGAGAAAAUAAUACAUAAUAGAAGAGUAAUUUUUUGCAAAAACAUAAAAAUAUUCUAACUCCGGCUCCUAAUGUUUAAUACGGUCUAGACUCCUUAAGAAUAAACCUGCAAAACAAAAUGAGUUUUGAGUAAUCUACCAUUACUCAGUAAGCCGGAUACCCUCAAUCUAUCAUGCAAUUCCCCCCUGUAACACCCCAUACCCGUCCUAGCACUAAGAACAAAUAGGGAGUGCUACUUAGGACCCCCGUAGCCGGCCGACCGAGGUUCCCGAAACGAAUUCAUUCACCAUGGUCGUCCAACCACGAGUGCCCGACCUCUCGGACACGGCCUAAGGCUUUGCAACCCGUACCGCGAACGAGAGUUGUGUUAAGUCCGGACAAGACUUAAUAUCAGUUGGAACAACCAUUUAUGCUUUUUGGAAAAUUCGAGUCUUUGUACAUAAGUAUAGUAUACGAAUAAAUCGUUACCGAAAACUCUUAUACGAGUCGGAUCCUUUUCUUUAAAAAUCUUACAUAGUAUAAAUAGUAAGAAUUUACAAAGGCUGUAAAACCUACUUUGAUUCGCCUAGAUCACUUGCUUCACUAUGAGAAUAAUCGGCUAAGAAAACCUGAAAAAUUAAAGUUGAAACAUAAGUAAUCUAGCAUUACUUAGUGAGCCCGGAACUAAAAUAUAUCUACCCAUUACCUACCCUCAGCAGCUUAUAAGAAUUGCCUAUCGGAUUCCCUAUCGAGAACUAGCACACAAGAAGCAAUUCCACAACAAUAACAAAAUAUUAACAAUCCAACAACAAAGACUCGAACAACACAUGCAGUGGAGAACCUAAAAUGCUAUGCAUGCAUCUUCAACUCUCACAAGGCCUUUCACGGAUGCAUGAUAUCCCCCACCUUAGACACAAAGUCUAUACAAAAAUCUGUCUACAUCGUCAUGUAGCUACUCGGUCCGUCGCGACCCGGCCCCGAGUCUCGUAUAUGAUCGCGUUGCGUACCAUAUACAACAGGGAUAGCAUGAUCCGUCCGAUACUAACUCCACUAACACGUCCUCAUCAUCCCUAGUCUCAUGUAUCAAAAUGCAACUACUACAAUGCAAGCUACAACUUGCAUCCAAGAUUCACAACAGAAGCCUAUGCUACCAAGUACAAGCUAAGAGCUAUCCAAUAUAAAUCAUCCAAGGUGUACUCUAACAUCCAAGCAUCACAACAAUACAACCAAUCAAUUAGCAAAGCAAGCUAUCAAAGAUAUCUAAUGUUUAGCAAUCACCCAACAAUACUAUCCAUAAACUAUUCUACCUUCUUCAAAGUCUAAGUACCUAAGCAUCUCAACAAAUAAGCUAAGCAAGUAUUGGAACUAACCCAUGUAAUAAUGCUUAAGUACUACCAUCUUUCACACUAAUUCUAACUAAGAACUACUAAACCUAAUUAAUUAACUUAACCUUAAAACUAACUAAGUAAUUAAAAAUAAACGUCUAAUUAAUUAAGACUAAUCAAACAAAAUAAUAAUAAACUAUCCUAUUCACAUGCUACUUCACGUGACUGAGAACUCACCUACUUCUCCUAAGGCUCUUCUUCUCUUUGGGAGCUUCCUCCGGCCAACUACCAAGCUUCUCUCUAUAUCGGGUCUGGGUAGAAAGUGAGGCGAAGGGGGGUUUAUAUAGGGUCACUAAGUCGGUUGGGUAAGCAGGAGGUGGCCAUGGGACGCUUAGUGUUGCGACACAUCGUCGGACACUAAGACGGCUCCAAACGGCGACACCUUGCUAACGGAUAAGAACGAGGUUUUGGAUAAGGAUGAACGAUCUAUUCGGAUAAACAUUGCCCAAGAAUUGAUCCGGACCGUCCGUUUCCUUUACCGGCUGAUAUCGCAUCUUGACCGUCGGUACUUGUGAUUUUCGAUACGGCCGUUACCGGCCACCGAUCAUCGGCCGACGGUCGACCCUUCCUUUCUUUCUCAUGCCGGCUUAGGGAACAAACUUACCGAAUACUUUCUCGUACAGAUCAUCGACAAUAAUCCAUACUGGCAAUGAAUCCUUCGUCCGGCUACCGAGAGCGUUGGCUGUCCAACGUCCGGCUUCAGCAUCCCAUCUCACAUUCUCGACCAACCCUACUUUUCUAUCGACAACUUCCACUAUUCUCCCGACCAAUCUAUAAGAUUUAGUCUAAAACUAACUUAGGGGCUUUACCUAAAGGUUUCUUAGCCAAUAGAAUGGCUUUGGUCGAUAGCCUUGCCUUGUUACCAUGUCCGUCUGUCGGAGAAUCAUUCCGCUCGUUCGUUCUUGCCCAUUUCUCAUACUUCCCUACUCCCUUUCUUAAGCCUCCUACACGUCCAAGCCAAUAAUGUAUUUUCCCUUCGGAUCCAUUAGAUUUUGGUGCCUGGUCGUAAUGCACGUCCGUCCGUCCGAGCACUAGUCCCGGUGAGGGGUAUUACACCCCCCCCCCAACCCCAAAAGAAACAAGGUUAGAAAGCGUUAGCGGAAGCAUAUAAAGCAAACAAGCAAGAAAAAUUACAAGACUCGACUAGACUAAACUAGACUCGACUUAAGCUAAGACUCGCUAGACUCCACUCCUUAGACUCUCGAUAAUCUGAUCCGUUCCUUUUCAUAAUCAUCUCAGGAUGAAGCCACAAAGGCAUUUAACCGGAGUAAAGUUCUUAGUUGCAUCGUCAUGCAACAUUUUGGGCUAGUCAAGACCUGAUAAACCACAAAGGUUAAAUCUUCGAGACCCGCAUCGCCAUAGCCGAGGAAACAGAUUAUCGAAGCUAAGAAUCAAAUCUACAGAUCUGAAACUAAGGACUCUCUGUAAGCAAAGAAAUUCUACACAAAGAAGAUCAGUACUAAAAGAGGUAAUAAACAAGCAAUCAAAUCAAGCAAUCAUCAAGUAAACAAAGCAAAGCAAGCAAGGAAGCGUGUGUUUAAUCUAGGUGAUAGUUCUCGGUGAUCUUAAAGAAACUAAAAACUGUCUGGAUUAACAUGUGGGUUCUUUUUAGUUGGUCAGAUUAGCAAGCUCUAUCUUGAAUUUAGCCGGAUUUUUAAGCAUGCGAGUUCAUUUUUGCAGAAAGUAAAGCCUAUCAUGCAGGUUCUACAAAAAAAAAGGCAAGCAAAACACGCAAUAGAUACGUACACAAGUCCGGAGACCUAUGCAGCACCCCACACAAUUUGUAUCCAACUCAGAAUGUUUUUAUCGACGAUGACUGUCCUUUCUAUCUCACCGAGGCUAGCUUACGAAAUGUCCUUCUUCUUGGUUUGACCUUCGGUAGCGGAUCUCUUGAUUCCGGCAAUAGGUGUCUCGAUCCUUUGGCAGCAAAUACUUGAUCAUGGGGCAAGAUUCAAGAUUAAAACUUUUUAGAGCGAGAGAUUUGUGUCGUUUCGGCGAACGAACACAAAUGACGGUUCACUACUCCUUUUUAUAGCCUCUAGCUUCAGCAAAAAUUGCUAGCUUCGGAAAACGCAUACAGACGCCAGGUGUAGGUUUGGGUAUGGCGGAACGAGCCAUCUUUUGCUGCCGGACAUGUGGCAGUCAUGAAGAAAAAACAGGAUUCUAUCCGAUUGCAUCCAUUGAAUCUUCUCCCAUAUCUUUGCGAGAUAUUUUCUCUGCUUUUCUUUUCCAUGUGGCAAUGUUGUCGAGUGAAAGAUUCACUGAAAAAACAAAGAAUCAGAUUUUCUCGAUCUCCUUGAAAUUUUGUUCGAUCAUGUUCGGACGUUUCGAUACUUAGUGAGUAUUCUUUGACAAACUUGGUAACUCUUCGAUACAAUAUCUUCAAGUCACGUUAGCGUUGGUUGUGCAUCGAGAAUUUCCUUUAAGGUUGGCUCCAAUCUUCAUUUCUUUGAUUUUGUCUCGACCAGCUGUCGUCGCCGAUCGACAGUAUCGAUGGUGUCUCGACCAUCUUCGACCGUUCUUCAUUUUUUUGGCAAUCUGUCUCGAUAGAACUUCAUAAUUAGCCAUUUUAUGACUUUGGGUCAAGAUACUAUGCUUCACGUUUAGGUCCAAUCUUUGUGUGGUCGAUAACGUACUUCUCCGGCUACGCUUCCUCGUAUAUAUCCCGACCAAACUGUAUUUCCUUUGAUAAUGCUUCGAUAGAUCACAAUCCUUAGGUCUUCUUAGUCUUUCGGAGUUCUUUUUCUCACCCGUUCAUUGAUGAUUUUUCAUCCGGCUACUAGGUGAGGGUGAGGGUCACUAUAGGGUCCACUAAGAGAGGUUCGGUCUGGGCAUUACAUUAUUUGAUGGCCAACAUCCUAUGGCCGGUUGGCUAUGUUCAUGAGGCUUUAAAGACUUUUUAAGCGACCCUACAAAUCACCACAUAAUCUUAACUGUUUUUUUGACCUUACUCGCACUAUUCCGACAACCACUUCCCGGAAGGUUACCCAUCAUGAGACUACACAGGCAUAAGCACGCUUAACUGUGGAGUUCUCUCACGACCUUUAAACGAAAAGAUAAGCGCAUUUUGGUGACAUAGGUGGCCAAAUCAAUUCAUUCAAACUCUCCACAAACUAGAUUCUCACACUAUCAAUCUCUUUCUUUUUCAUAUAUUUAAGUAAUUUAAUUCUAGAAGAAAAUUAAUCAACCAACCGGACUAAUGCUAUGUAGUGAGAACCCCAACAAGUAUUACCAAGUCUCUUUAGCGAGAGCUCUUGAUUCAAUCAUGGCUGAAUCACCUUGACUGAUUUCUUCCUCUAUAUUUCUUGAAAUUCUUCUCAGAUCAUAUCCUUUCUUUAACAAGAAGCUCCAACCACAUUUAACUAUACAUAAAUCAUAUCAAAGAAAUCGCCGACUCUAAAAUGUUUUUUAGCAAUUGCCACUACAAAUAACAGAAGCUGAUGAGCAAAGCCGUGGAUAUAAUAAGCAAAACUACUUUCUCUCAAACUUAGGGAUCUCAAUCCAUUGAAUAUACCUUUCAUGUUUCCAUCAUAACCUUUUCCCCUUAGUUGUUUCAUACUUAAAACAUGCUUAGCAAAUAAUGAAUCAAUAACACAUUUUAGAGAUGCAUAUGAUGUGUUUUUAACAUGGAUAAGUAGUAUCUUUGAAUAUUUUAGGACCUUUUUCAUAGGGUUUAGAGUCUUUAUUUUGUGAUUUGCAUCCAUAAGUUGUUUUGCAUUAGCAUUCGCAUGCAUCUAUGCAUAUGGAGCAUUAUUAGGUGUUUUAGGACUUCUUAAUGCUAAAGAAGGCGCUGAUUUCAUUCCUGAGUCUUACACAAGAGAAUAUAAAGCAUGAAGAAGGAAAAGGGAAGCACUCGACCAUACCACUCGACCAAGUACUCAGACGUGUUCAUGAUAAGUCCUUGAAAGAUUGACUCGAAUGGAGAUCUUACCUUCAGAUUUAGCUUCAGCGCCCUUCAUACAAGUUGUAGGAAAUUGAAUAAGCAUUUUAAUGGUUGUAGAGUCAAACCAAUCAGAUCUGCAGUUCAAGAUAUAUCGCUGUUUUACUGGACGUAUAUAUACAUGAUCGAGCAUCCGGUCAAGUGGAAGGAAUGAAGACUUGUGCUCGACCAUUGCACACAACCAACCACACGACCAAGCAGUAGAUUGAGCAGCUGAUCGGGCACUUAUGACAAAUUUUCUAUUUUGUCUGCUAGUGACUUAGGGCUUCCCUCUUAUCUUAUAAAUAGCCCAUUUCUCUAAUUUGUAAAAAAAAACACUCUUUUUUCAAGAGUUGUUAUACUUUAGCCUCCUAUAUACAAACUUGUAAUCUUAAUAUAUUUUGAUAUAUUUAGAAUUUUCUGUUGGAUCUUUGUGCAAUAUUGCUACUUACAUCUAGAUCUAUAUGAUUAUGCAUCUUUUAGAAUUUCCUGGGUUCGAAUCUAUGAUCAUGUUUUCUGGGUUUGAGUAGUGAACUAGGGUUCUUUAGGAUGGAAUAGGUCAGUGAGAAAUCUUAGUCUCUAGGGGUGUUUAAGCUUAGAUUUUAAUAGAUCACUUCUGGAUUACAGUCUAAAAAGCUAGUUCUGCCUUGGUCAUGUGGAAUUAGGUCUUAGACAUUUCAGCACGCAAAAGGUGUUUGAUGAAAUGUCUGAACCACUAAUACCAGAUAUUUAUUUGCUUAACCAAAGAGAUUAGUUGCUUAAUGAGUAUAUUGAAAAUAAUGAGUUUGAUCUUUAUGUCUAUCUAUUGCAUGUUUCAUCAAUGAGAAUUGAGAUUAGGAAGUUCCUUUGAUUUGAUAAUUUCUGUCAAGAAAUUGGAUUGAUUAGUUUACGUGGUUCAUUGUCUAGGAUUAUAUAUUUGAGUAUAUUAAGCACCCCAUUAAGACUAAGAGGAUUCAUUAACUAAUAACACAUUUCCGACAUUUACAUCCCGGAAGGUCACCCAUCCCUGGACUACUUCAUUAUAAGCGCGUUUAACUAUGGAGUGCUCUUAGGAGUCAUAACAUUUGACCAAAAAGAUAAGUGCACUUUGGCCAUAUCAAUUCAUUUAAACCUCUCAACAAAUCAGGGUCUCACAAUUCUUUUCCUAUCCGCCGGAUUUCAAGACAAGUCUUCUGAAUCUUUUUCGACAUCAAUACUUUUGAAAACUCUUUUGAUUGGUACAUAAAAAAAUAUUUAUUUUAACAUGAAAUCAAAUUUAGAUUAAAAUUUUGACAUAGGAGUGAUUUAUCAAUUUAAAACAUACCUUAAAAAGUUAAAAACCUACAAGAUUUCUUCUAAAAUGAACAAAACAUUAAUAUUUGUACAUUGCAAAACAUUAAUAAAAAUUAAGUAUAAAAACUUACUAUAGACAUAUUUGGGAUACAGUGGCUUGAGAACUGAAAAAAAUGCCAAAAUAGUAACAAUUGAAAAUCGGUGAUUUACCAAAGGUAACUUUCAAAUUACGAUAUAAAAAAGUAAGAAUAUAAGCGGGACAAGAUUAUUCAAUUGUUGUCACAAAAGGACGAAAAUAGCCCAAUAAAGUGACAUCCAAAACGCAACAAAACUUUGGAGUUGGGUUUAGGUUAUAGUUAGUUUCCAACUUUGUUAGUUACAGUGAGACCCUAGUUUGUGGAGAUGUUUAAAUGAAUAGAUUUGACCACCUAUGUCACCAGAGUGCACUUAUCUUUCGGUCAAGGGUCCUGAGAGAACUCCAGUGUUAAGUGUGCUUAUGCUGGAGUAGUCAAAUGAUAGGUGACCUUUCAGGAAGUAGCUGUCGGAAAUGUGUGAGUGAGGCCAAAACACAGAGAAAGAUCAUGUGGUGAUUUGUAGGGUUAGUAAACAAGUAUUUAAGCCUCCCGGAUGUAGAACCGUCAGAUAUUGAUGGGCUCAUGGUCCUAGUGUGAUGUGGACAUCAGAACUAGAUCAUACCAAGAACACACCAAACCGGUCUACAUGGAGAAUUUUGGAGAAUCUUUGUCUAAAUGGAGUUCUGAUCAAGUACAAGGCGAAGGGUUAAUUAUUCACCAUGAUAUUAACCCUAAGAAGUCCGAUAGUUCAAGAGGGAUCAAAAAUCAGCAAGUCAAAUCACCUUAUUAUUGGGAUAUGACUGUUGCACUCUUUUUCUCUUAUCUAGGGUUUUUUCCCAAUGGGUUUACCUAGAAAGGUUUGUAAUGAGGCAACACCAAGUUAUCAAGGAAUCAUUCACCAUCCAUAUGAUUCAAAGAUGAUAGCUGAUGUACAUUCUAAUCUACUCGCGGACAAGCAUGCUGAACUACUCGCUGACAAGCAUGAUGAACUACUCGCUGACCGACUGGCUGAACUACACCAGACUGCGAGCUGUGAGGAUUUGAAGUCUUUUAACACUUGCAUCAGCCAUGAAGGGAGCCCACACACUCAUCUGAUCCACCACAAGGCCCCAGCCCAUGGAGAACAGCCCAAGAGAAGAUCCAAGUCUAGACCACUCUUUGAAUCAAGGCCAUUGAUCUACUUGGAGCGAGAUAAGGAAACUCUCCUUUACCUUCAUAUGGACGUGUCUCAAAGCUACCUAUGGACACCAUGAGAAUCAUUACAGACAUCAUAAAAUAUGAGGAGUCUUUGUCAUUGUUAUUCCAUAGUCUUAAGUGAGUGAGUCUCUUAAGUCUAUUGGAAUCUGCGGAUUAAGUUUGUUGAGUGAUUCAAUAUCUUUUAUUUGUCCAUUGAUCGAGUGAGUCGAUUAUCCCACCGAUUGAGCGAGUCAAUCACCUGAACUUUCCCCUGAACCACCCCUUGAUUCACGAGAGAGUGCUUCAGAGCCAGCUCGUGAAUUCCACCUUCCGCAAGCUAAGCUUGAAAUCUCUUGAUUAUCAAGUGAUCUAAAGUUGGAGUGAUUCUAAUCUUGCAUCAUAUUGAGAGGACGUGAGGCCCACUGAGAGAGGUGGGCCCAUGGGCUGGUGGUGAACAUGGGGCCCAUUUGAGAGAUGGCGGUCGGGCGUUACAAUUACGAUCCUGUAAGUUGAAAAACUGGGUAUUGGGGGUGAGGAAUUUCUAGGUUUUACUAUAGUUGGGGCGAUGAUAAAACCAUAUCUUACUUUGAUAUUUAGGGUUUACGUUAGAUAUAGAGUUGGAUUAAAGAACAUUUAGCAGAAGAAAAACGAUGACAGUGCAAACGAUGGAUGAUGAAUACAAAGGUAUUUAUUUUCUUAUUUAUUCCGAGUAAUGUCUCAAUCACUUUUGGUUGAGAGAUCUAGGUAAGUGCUUUUGAGUUUUUUGUUUUAUAUUUUCGUUCUUAUAGAGCUGUAUCAGUAGUAAUGAUUCUCUUUGUGAUCAUGUGGAUGAGGUAUCCUGGAUACCGAUGACCUUUUUCCAAAAAAUGCUUCCAAUUAAUCUAAAGUCUCUCAUGUGUAUCAUUGGAUUUGGUAGAUAGUGAACGAGUUGAUAAAAACCCAUGGACAUAAUAGGAAGUGAUCUAAAAAUACAACUAAAAAUACGAAGUUAAUAAAAAAGGAUACGAGAACAAAUAUGAAAAUUAAUACAAAGUGAACAAAUACAAUAAUCACUAAUUUCAAUUUAAAAACGAAUUACGAUUCUAACUAGUGAAGUAUAAAAACUGAUUGAUACUUGAAUCUCUAAUAUAAACAGAAUGGAUACAUAAGAGCAUCUCCAGUGGUGAGCCUCCUUCAUGGGUACUUAUCAAUUAUUUAAAAUUAAAUUUUGACAAUUGUUAGUUUAAGUAACUCUAAAUUAAUUUUGCUGUCCAGUGGUAAACAAUCUUCAUGGUUGCUUUUUAAAAAACAAUUAUCAUACACAUCCACAAAGAAAGGAAGAAAACAUACAAAGCAAGGCUAAAUUUUUAUUCUAUACGUAUGUAUGAUAUUUGUACUCCAAACAUUGGAUGGUCGGAGAGAUGAUGCAUCAUCUAAUCUCAUGCCACACAUUUUCGUAAUCUUCGCUGCACACAAGCUUUCGUUUUGGGAAUUGAUUUGUUCUACUAAUUAAAACACAACUAAACAAAUUGCAUCAGUAAGGAAGAAGAGAUGAGGCGGUGGGCAGCUUCAAUAUAUCAAAUCUUCAUUAUCACUAGAAACCCAGAAAAAAAAAAUGAGAGCGAGAGAAAGCGACAUGAGAAACAAAAAAAAAAUGUUGACACGUCAUCAUUAAGUAUCGGUACUCAAAGUACUAUGUUAAAGACUGAUACUUAAUAAAUACAUCAUUUUUGAUUUAAUUUUGUUUUACUUUUUUGAUAAGUACCCCUUUAAAAACCACAACUGGAGAUGGUAUAAAGAAGAAGAAAAAAUGUUAAUGAUUUUUGAGCUUUAUACAACAGUAGAUGAGAAUGAAAAGAAGAAGAAGAAUUAGAUUUCUUCGUUAUACAAGUAUCAAGAAUGAAAGAAAAUAGAACAUAAAUAAAAGAGAAAGAAAAAGAAAAAAUAAAAUGGAUGAAGAUGUGUAGGGAAAAUGAUGAAUCGAAAUUAAAAUGGUUGAGAAAGAGUGUGACGAUCUAGUUGAGAUGAGUGGCAGUUUAGUUAAUAGAGCAACUUUAUUAUGCUAGAAUAGAUUUAUAUUUCUCUAAUAUCUCUCUCAGUUGGGAAGUUACUAAUUGAACAAUAUGUUUAUCAAAAGUUGGAAAACAAAGAAAAGAAAAUUUGCUGGGAAGAGAUAAUUAGGUCAAUGUAUCGUGAGUUAUUAUUGAAGACUUGGAGUAUGAUUUUUAAUAUCUGCUGCAGAUUCUAUCGGGCUUCUCUAUAUUAUUAUCUCGGCAUGUUUUUGGUAUAAUAGAUUUAGACAGAUAUAUAAGAUUAUUCUUUUACAUAUUAUAAAUUUAAUUUUCUAAAAUUGCGUUCAAUAUUUUUUUUUUAAACUAAUUUUGAUGAUAAAUUACAAAUAUUAUAGAUAAAUACAUGUAUACAAUUGAUAUACAUAAAAUUUACGAUUAAUAACCUCAAUUAUAAUGUUAACAUCCUAUAAAACUAAAAAUGAAUAUGAUGCAUAUUUUAGAAAUUAAAUACAUAAAAAACAAAUUGGUUAUUUUAUAAUUUUUUAUGGAGUAUAUUACAAGAUUAUACUUCAAAAUUUUAAUAUAUUUUUUUAGAGAUUAUAUGUAGGAUAAAAUUUAAUUUUUACGAAAUAUUAAAAGCAUACAUUAAUAUACUUACGUAGAUAUAUAUUAAAUAUAUAUAUAUAUAUAUUAAUUUAUUAAUUUAUUGAAACAAUAUUUUACAUGAGAAUUUAAAAAAUUUGCUAUCUUAUUAUCUUUAUUAAAAGUUGUUAAGUUUUACACUGGACUGACUCAGAAACAUCAAAAUUUAUUAAUUUAUAAUCGUUGUUAGUUUAUCAACAUUCAUUUAUAAAUGUUUUAACGUACCAAGUUGCAGUUUAUUCAUACCUAUGUGAGUCAAAGACAAAACAACUAGGAUUUAGAUGUUUAGAAAUGUGCACAUAUGUAUAUCCAAGCUAAUUGUGUUAAUUAAGGAGAUAUUGGAAAAGGGAAAGAAUUCCUACUGAAAACACACCUUCAUAGCUUCCAACAAUUAAAAAUAAAAAGAAGUUGCAAGACUUCCAACUCCUAUUGAACCAUCUCACCAAGAAUACAAGCAUAUCUCUAACUAUCACCCAUAAACUAUAUAAGCAUAAGAGUCUUCUAAAAUUUUAAGUAGAGUAAUACUUGGGUUCACCUCUCUUAUUCACCUCCUAUUAAUUAAACAAUAAAAAACAAUAAUAUGCCACAUCAUAUUAUAUUUUAAAAUAAUUUAAAUUUAAAAUCAGAAAAAUAAAUAUUUUAAAAUAAUUUAAAAUUAAAAUCAGAAAAAUAAAUAUUUUAAACCCAAACUAAUAUAUAAUAAUUUCGUUUAAUUAUAAAAUCUAAGCCUUAACCACUAUUUUAUCAACUCAAACCAAAAUAUAAUUUUGUUUAUAUAUAAAUCUAAACCCUAACCACUCAUUUAUAAACCCAAAGGGAAAUACAAUUUUGUUUUAUUACAAAAUCUAAACCUUAAGCACUAUUUUAUAAAACAAAACCAAAUUAUAAUUUUUUUUUAUAAACUCUAAUCACUAUUUUAUAAACCAAAGCCGAAAUAUAAUUUUCUUAAUUAAAAUCCUACAUAAUUUUUUUCCUUAAUUUGUUUUAUUUUACGAUUUUAAUUUUGAUUUUGUUUUAAUAGAAAAUGACAUGGCAUAUUGUUACAUUUUAUUUGACUAAUUAAGAGGGGAUGAACAAGAGUAGUUCACCCCUAGUAUGACAACAUAAAUAAACGAUUUUAAAAUUAAUUAGCAAACUCCCUCCCCCCCCCCCCCCCCCCCGCCCGGCCACGUUAUAAUUAGCGCUUUGGUAAGAGUAGGGUCAUCUUAUUUGAAAAAUAUGACAACAUUAAUAACUUGUUAAAGGCUAUAGAUUUUAUAACAAGAGACACUAGGAUUAAAAGAAAGUUUAUCUCUGCAAUAUUAUUUAUGACUUUCAAAAUAAAGAUAAAAUAUGAAUUUUGUUUUACAUGUUUUAACUAGGGGGAUUUUCUAAAAUGGGCUGCUUUCGAAAUUUAAUCCUGAGAGAGGUACACUCAUUGGUAAAAUUGUAGAAAUGGUACACUCCAAAUAGAAUAUACAAUUUACAUCUUUCUUUUCAAAACUAAAAACCAAAAUGUCAUUACCCCUUACUUUUUGCAUUUUUCUUUUAAAGGCAGUUUGCACUUCUGUUUGUUAUUUAAUUGUUGCAACAAUCUUCCGUUUGCCAUAAGCCAUUAUAUUGUGAAUAUCGGUUCAAAUUUGGCAUAUAAAACUAUGCACAGACGUUGCGUAAGAUAAUCAAAUUUUAACCUAAUCAGAUGUCACCGCAUCCAGACUUAUGGAACAUCUUUGCAUGCUGUAAAUUUGGUAGCAAAAGAUGCACAUGCCGUCAUUUUGACCACAAGAAAAUACCAUGUGUCCAUGCAAGAGCAGUUAUUUGGUUAACAGAUACGCUGAUGCAAUCAUGUCUCCAGAUACGGCACUCUCUGUUCCUCAACUUGUUUCGAUAAUAUAAGCAAACAUAAGAUAACUCAGCCGUAAUGUGUAAAUAUGCCGCGAAAACAUAAGAUAACCAUCGCAACAUUUUGUCUUCCAUUCUCUCUUUCCUCUGUUCCCUUUAUAAAUCCGUUUUCUCUUCAGAUUCUUCUUCAACUCUCCCCUCAACUUGCUUCUCUAACUCCCUUGCUCCUCCAUCUUCUUCCUCUACCACCUUUCUCCCUUCCGUUCCUCUCCUCCUCUUCAUCCCUCUUGUCUUAUGAGGCAUAUUGGGUAGAUGAUUUCUCGGUUCUUAAUGUUUUCAGAUCAGAUUUGAUAUUGUUGGGUCGGAUAUUGAUGGGGUCCAAUAAUACCCUGGUAUUGUGUGUAAUUUCUUCCAAUUGUGGCUGGAUAAUGAAGUCAUAAAAUGACUUCGAAUCAAAAAAAAGAUAAAUUCCCUCAUCCUUCGUGGUAGUAGGGUUAUACAUUAAACAUGAAAUUACAAUACAUUUGACCAAGUCAAUACGACUCACAAAAGCCAAAAAAAUUAAUGACGAUAUUAAAAUUUCCAACUAAAGCAACUCACAUACACACACAACACAAUUGUAACAAUAACAUAUUUCGUAGUAAACAUCAUCGCCAUGCCUCGCUGAGCAGUCCGGUUUUUUUAAUACUUCCGUUGAAGGGAAUUGCCACAUUGUCCCAAAGGAGUGCCAAAACACGAGGGACGAAAGUCAAUGAAAUUGUCUAUUAGCCUUUCACACAUAUCUUCUAGAUCAAUGGAGUAGAUUUCAUGGGUGUGGUCACCAUAAAAAAGAUCCCGGAUUAUUUCGAAGGCAGCCCUAGCUAAAUCGCCCCCCCCAUCGCACAUUUGAAUCAUGGCAUAUGCUAAGGUUGCGUCGUUGUUCACAGGUACAAUUCUUUCAAGCAGCGGUGACGCCCCGUCGACAUCUAGUGCUUGAGUGAUAAGACGAAGUGAUUCAUAAUAUAGAGCUUUUCCAUUGUCAAAAUUCAAACAACGGGUAAAAAAAAUGCUCCAAAUCUGAUAUUCGCAUAAGUUACCCGGGUUGAUGCACGCUGGUGUGAUGUUGGCAGAAUAUAAAACCUCUCUAGACAAACCAAUAUCUCUUCCACGUUUGUUGCUUCGAAUAAUGGGACCAAGGAAAUUGCAAUCUUCAUCUCCAAGCUUCCUUACUACUUUCUGGAAAAUAUCAGCAAGUAAGUCAUCAAGGGACAUGUUUUUAAUAAUUUUAAAGAAGUUGCCGUCUUAUUAGAACACAACAAAAGUGUUUUAAUGUAUAGAAAAUUUAUUUUACGGGGGUCUUGAUAGGGUUUUGGUGUUGUGGAAUAUUCCAACACCUUUCCAUACUUGUACAUGGGCCAUUUUAAACAUCUUAAUUAUUCAAAAGUCAUUAACUACUGGGCCAUUUAGAAACUAAUUACCGCCUUUUUGAUGGCCCAAAAAGAUAGUGUUUGUGAUGUCAUCGAGGACAUUAGUACAACCAGUCAAGGUCUGCAGAUGUGAACUCUUUAUGGAUGCAAUGAAAUAUUAUGAAUGAAAGUUAAGUAUUGUACUGUACAAAUAAACAUUCCUUAUUAUUAACAUCAAUUUAAUAAUAUAUUAACUCCCCAAUCUCGCUGGAUAUUAACUAAUAUAGAAUUAGCAUUUAAUAGUUUUAAGAAAGUUCAGGAAAUCAUAUCACAUGAUUAUUAUAUUUUCCAUAUAAUAUAACAUUGACAGUCCACAAAAAGAAUUAAACAGUUAAUGUAUGUUACAAAUAAAUAAAUAAAAUCAAAUAAUUAUGAUUAAAAAUUGAAUAAAAUAGUUAUUUCAAUUUCCAAAAAAUAAACGGGUAAUACAAAAAAAAAUUAUAUAACUAUUUCUCAUCAAAAACAAGACGAUAUAAAAAAUUUGGAAACUUAAAUUCAAUUUCAACUUUCAAAUAUCAAAUGACGGGUAUGAUACAUGAGUAUGAAAUAAAAUAGCAAAAGUAAGUUUCAAAUUACUUAAUAAUUUCAAAUAUCAGGACAAGAAAUAAUGGAUACAGAAAGAGAACGGGUAAUUUAAUUAGUUAAUUACAAGCUACAUAAUAUUGUUUUAAAAAAAUGUUAAUGAUUUCAUUUAUAUAAAAAAUAUACAAUCAUAUCUUAGAGGGAAAAUACGGAUACAAAAAGGGAACGGGUAAUUCUAAAAAUAAAUUAUCUAAACUAUUUCUCAUAAAAAAAGGACGAUAUAAAAAAUUUGGAAACUUAAAUUCAAAUUUAAAAUAUGAAGUGACGGGUAUGAUACAAAAAUAUGAGAUUUAAAUAGCAAAAAGUAAAUUUUAAAUUACUUAAAUAUUUCAAAUAUCGGGACAAGAAAUAACGGAUACGGAAAGAGAACGAGUAAUUUAAUUAGUUAACGGGUUUGACUGAUGGUGUAGUAGUAGCAGUUCAAUUUGGUGUAGGGCAUGCAUAGUGAACGGGUUUGACUCUCCUAAUAUAUAUAUAUGUAUAUUUAUGUUAUUUUAUUCUAAAGUUUUAAUGUUUUUCAUUGGUUUAUGUGAUGUGAUAGUUUAUAAAUUUAAUUAAUUUCUAACUUAUCACUCAUUCGGUUUACACUCGAUCCGGGUCUCUUAUCAUGUCAAUCCAAAUAUUUUGAAACUUUUUGAUAAACUUAAUUUUUGCAACCAACCCCGCACGUACGUGCGGGUCCAUCCCUAUUUACUUAUUUUAAAAAACAUAUUACUGAGCUGAAUUUCUUCUUUAACUAGUGAUAGCGGUAUUGUGUUAAAACUUUUUAUCCAAAAUUUAAAACCACAAGCGCACAGUUAUAUACACUUUAUUUUUUAGGUUUCUAAUACAUAUAUACUAUAUAUAUCUAGUAACGCCCCAACCGCCAUCUCUCUAGUGGGCCCCAUGUUUACCACCAGCCCAUGAGUCCAUCUCUAUUAAUGGGCCUCACGUCUUCUCACUACGCCUAUGAGACCAUCAAUAUUCGACGGUCGGUUUCUUACGUCCGGGAAGCUUAAAUACUUAUUUACCGACCCUACAAAUCACCAUAUGAUCUUUCCAUGUGUUUUGGCCUCACUCACACAGUUCCGACAACCAUUUCCCGGAAGGUCACCCAUCAUUUGACUACUCCAGCAUAAGGACGCUUAACCAUGGAGUUCUCUCAUGACCUUUGACAAAAAAAGAUAAGUGCAAUUUGGUGACAUACGUGGCUAAAUCAAUUCAUUUAAACACCUCCAACAAUCGGGGUCUCACAUAUCUUGUAUGUUUAUAAUUUAUUUCUGAUAAAACUUUUAUAUAUAAAAAACAUAAAAUAUAAUUAUACAUAUAUAUAUAUAUAUACUAUUAUUUUGUAAAGAAAGAGAAACUACCUCUUCUGUCAACUCUAUCAACACAACAAUUUCCAAGACACCAUGAAGACAAAAAAAUGACUUAUGCGAACAUGAAGACUUUAAUUAACCCCAAUAAAACUUUAAUUAUAUUUUAUGAAGACUUUAAUUAUAUUUCAACAUAAAGACUUUAAUUAACACCAAUAAGACUUUAAUUAUAUUUCAUGAAGUCUUUAAUUAGAUUUCAACAUGAAGACUUUAAUUAACACCAAUAAGAAAAAGAAAAAUCAUUAAUUAAAAAAUAAUAAUUAAAACAACCUUACUCAUCACAUGCAAUGUGAACACCAUACCAUAUCUAGGAUUAUUAAGACAAUAUAUCUCAUAUAUGAUUUCUUAGGCAUUCAAAUCUAAAAUAUUUUGACGGUUUAGUCCGGUUCUCUAUUUGAUUUUUUAUAAAGUUUCCAAAUAUUAUAACCUUUAAAGGUUAAAGUUUAAAAUAUUAUUAAUAUUGAAAAUAUUAAGGACUUCAAAUAUUAUAAAUAAUUUACCUUUAAUAAAUUUUUAAAAUAUUCUAAAUAAUAAACAAGUUUAUAUAUUAUUGUUAUUUUAACCAAAAACGUUUAAAAUAUUAUAAAUAUUUAAACUCUAUGAAAUUUUAAGAGUUGUUAAUAUUUUAACUCUAUUUUUAGGGUUUAGGGUUUAGCCAAUAUUAGGUACUAAUCGUCCUAAUAAAAAUUAAAUGGGGUAGUUUUUAGGAAUUUUCUCAAUUUGAAAUGAAAUAGUUUAGAGAAUUUUUGAAAAUAUCCCUUUUGUUUGCAAAAAUAUUUUAAUUAUCCAUUUCCAAAAAUACGUCUUAUAAAAUUUGAAAUUUAGAAAGUUUUAUAAGGUAUAUAAGGUACUUCUGGAUAAUAACUAUUACUGGGAGACUCAAACCAAAUAUUAGAAUGUUUCUGAAAUGAAUUUUAUUUUUUUGGAAGGUUCUUAGAAGGGCUCAAAUUUGCCAACGUAUAAGGCUUACAUUGCCUGAUGUAGGAACCAAGUUAAUAUUCAAAAUAAUGAAAUAAAGUUGGAAUAACAUCUUCAUUUAAAUAGUCUAAUUUCAAAUUAAAAUAUUUUGUGAGUUUUAUUAUAGUAGACUACCCGUAAAAAUAUAAAAUCGUAUUUAUAUAAACUCUAACCCGCUGCAUCACAUAAUCCAUGAUACACUAUAAUCUAUAAUACUUUAGUUUAUAUACUAUGCAAGUAAAUACCAAGAAAAAUAAAUGUUGUUAUUUAUAAACCCGCGUUUUUGUAACGAACAAAAAAUCCGAUUUUACCGUUAGUCUUUGUGAUUUCUUAUGAAUACAUAUAUUUUUAGAAAAUAAUAAUAAUUAAAUAAAUUGAAGGUAAAAAUAAGAAAUGGCGAUGUUGAGAGUGACGAUGGAGUGAUUAAGAAAAUAGCACCCACAAGAAGAUAUGGUGGUUAGGCUGCCUAGUCAACUAAUAGUUUAGUUUAGACAGUACGCAGGUUAUUUCGAUGUCGCCGGGGAAGCUAGUCAAAAUCUGUUUUACUACUUUGUUGAGGCUGUAAAUGGUGCUGAAUUUGAGCCCAUAGAUUAGACUUUUUUUUGUAGAAAAACAAACAUUGCAUGUAUUUUAAGUUAGAGAAAAAAACAAUUUGUUUAUGCGCAAUAAAACAAGUUAUAUUGGCCCUGAAAAACAUUGUGUGAAUUAUUUAAUAUAUAUUUGAAGUUUAAUAUAUAUUUGAGGUUGCAUUGCAAUUGGUGUAGGAGCUUUCACUGAGCUAGGUCUAUUUUACUCCCACUGGCGAUGGUUGUAGCAUUCGCGUUAACUCCAUGUCUUAGAAUAAAUGUUUAUCUUUGAUCAUUUUGAUGCAAAUAACAGAAAAUUAUGUGAUUGCACAUUUUGAUGCUAUUGUCUUUGGCUGUGAAAUGUGUAGCCUCAAACAUGUAAAUGUAGCAAUUAAAAGUAAACGACUCUUUAGAUUAAUGGAGUACUCUUUUGAUGUGUCAAAUUAAUAGAAAUCAAUCGCUCUUUUAACAUUUUUUAAUUCAAUUUUAGAUUUUGAUUAUGUUUUACUUAUGUUUUGCUUAUAUUUUUAUGAUAUUUUACUUUAUCUUUUCAAUUUUUUUCCUCAAAAUUUUUGAUGAAUGUAUUAUAUUUGUGUAUUCUAAACUAAUUUAUACUAAUUGGUAUUCCAUGUUUAUUUUCCAAUCAAAUUAUGUCGAAUCAAAUGGGAAGACUAACAUGCUUUAAAUUUUUAAUAUAACUAAUAUUAGGAAAACUUCUUGAUUAAUUCUAUUUGGGUGUCUAUGGUCACAAUUUUGUUAAAGUUGAGUGUUGAUCAAGAUUACGUAGUUCCAUUUCUGCAUCCAAGAACCUUCUUCAAGAACUUAUUUAUGACAUUAAUUUCAAGACUUGUUCCAUAUGGAGCCUAGUUCCACAAAAAACAUGUACCUAGUUGAAUAUGCGCUUAAUAGAAGGAAAUUGCGCUGAUUUGGUCCAGAGAUUUCUCAAACUAACAGCAAACUUGGAUUAGUGAAUAGAGAUUAUUGAUGAUUUUUCCAUUUUGUCACCUAAAUCUUUGGAUUUGCCAUUUCGUUUUAAAUUCUAUAGAAUUUGCUAUCUUUCGUCACUUUAAAGACUAUAUAUAUAUAUAUAUAUAUAUAUAUAUAUAUAUAUAUAAAUAUAUAUUUUGUGAUUUUUGAUAAUAUGUAUCUUAACAUUUUUGAAGUACAUUAUGUACUAAAAUCUAUUUUAGGUUAUAACCUUUUAUUUUGUAAUAUUUGCAUAAGCAAACCCUUACCAUUUGAAUAUAUAACAAAACUUAAAAGUAAAUUUUGUAAUUAAAUCACAAACAAAUGGCAAAACAAAUAUUUAUUACAUCAAAAAGUUUCCUAAAAUCCUUCUCUAAUAAAUCGAAUCUCUCUCCAAUAUAUUUAUAUAAUAUUAUUUGUUUUAAAUUUAUAUUAUUACAUAAAAUAUAUUUAUAAUAAAAAUACAAAUUUGUUUCCCCUCAUUUUGCAAUUUAAAUUUUUGGAAACAUACGUAUAUAACUCAAUCGAUAAAAGAAAAACUAUAUGUAUAACGCCUACAUAAGGUAGAAAAUUUUAGAUAAUAGUCAAAAAUCAUUAUAAAUAGGACUAAUAUGUUUACAACUACAAAUGAGCAUGAAUUUUUCUUUCUCACGUAUCCAAACUAGAUUUUUUAUUCAGUUUAAUCCGGUUCCAUAUUUAAAAAAUAAAAAUAAAAAAUUUUAAAAGAUUUCAAAUAUUAUAAAUUUUAAUUAUUUUAGAAAGUUUUGAAAUAUCAUAAAUAUGAAAACUUUCAAAAUCUGCAAAUUAUCAUAUUUAGUUUAAGUUUUAUAGAAUAUUUAACUCUAAAAAUAUUUAAAUUAUAAUAAUAUUGUAAUUAAAUAUGAUUGAACGACUUUGAGUUUACAUAAAUAUGAUGAUAUGUUUCUUACAGAUUGUCUGUAUUUAAAAUCUUUUACGGGUUAAGAUAAAAUAUAAUUAGUAUUUACAACAAAAUUGUCCCUCGGUGUACAGCGGGUUGACCACAUAUAUUUAUGAAUCUACUUAAAAUACAAAUUCAUAAAAUUAAAAUGAUUUCGGUUGGACAACUGAUAAAAUGUCAACAUGCCCAUAUUGAUUUGGUCCGAGGCCCAUAUAUGUUUGUUCGAAAGAAACUAAUUGACUUCCUAAAAUUUGACAUUUGGAAACAAAUUAAAUGGGGGAAAAUGUUAUUUAAAUCCCGAACUUACAAUUUUUGGCCAUUUUAAUCUUCGACUUUCACUAUGGUCAUUAAAAUUAUAGACUUCUCGUUGACGUUAUUUUUAAAUCACUGUCUUCUAUUGACGGAGCCAGAUUGAGCAUGUCGUCAAAUCAAACUCUUUAACAGAAGAGUUAACAUCUGUUUAGGAUCGUUAAUCGAUCUUUGUUAAGUCAAAAAAUGAGAAUCACAAGGACAAACGACAUCGUUCUGCCUUUUAAAAAAAUGUCUAAAUCCCCAAAUCGACGUCGCUUGUCCUUGUGAUUCUCAUUUUUUGCCUUAACAGAGAUCAAUUAACGAUCCUAAACAGCUGUUAACUCAUCUAUUAAAGAAUUUGAUUUGACGACAUGCUCAAUCUGGCUCAAUCAAGAGAAGAUAGUGAGUUAAAAAUAACUUCAACGAAAAGUCUAUGAUUUUAAUGAUACACAAAUUGACUUCAAAAAUAACCAGAAUAUCAAAACAACCAUUUUCGAAUAUAGAUUACUUACCGAACUAUAACAACUAAAGAAAUGCAAAUUAUAAAUACAAGGAAUAUUCUAGGUUCUAACCUUAUUAAUAUAAAUACACGAUGAGGUCUUCUUAUUUUGCAGAUUUCCCAAAAGAUUAAUAACGACAAAUACAUUUUCCUCUCUCACAAAAAUGGCAGAAGCUAAUGGCAUCACAAGCCUUGCUAUGAUUAAGCAUGGAGGUUUCGUGGCGACUAUAGAGCAUUAAACUCAAUCACGAUCAAAGACCGCUUUCUAAUACCCGCAGUCGAUGAUAUGUUGGACAAACUUCCCUGUGAAAUAUACUUCAUAAAGCUGGAUUUGACUGCGGGUUAUCACCAAGUACGUAUGCAUCACAAAGACAUUGAGAAAACAACUUUUCGGACGCAUAAUGGCCAUUACGAAUACUUGGUAAUGCCAUUAGGGUUAUGUAAUGCACCGUCCACAUUCCAAGCACUCAUGAAUAGCAUGUUGCGGCAGUUAGUCCUAGUUUUCUUCGAGGAUAUCCUCAUUUAUAGUGCUAGCUGGGAGGAACAUGUGAUCCAUGUAGAAUAAGUUUUUCACAUUGGUGGUUAAGCUAAAGAAGUGUGCGUCUGUGAAACGACCCAUCCUGUUUUCUAAGUUUUUAAUAUUCAACCAACGAACUAAAACAACAAGAAAACCACAGCGGAAACCAACCAGUAAAUUAAAUUACUAAACCAUAAAUUAAUCCACAAUUAUCCAAAACCAAAUCAAACCAGCAACAAUAACCAGAACCUAACAUGCGUGUAAUCCAAGAUUCCAAAACAAUAAAUUUAAAAUAACAAAACAAUCAGCAACUCUAGAUCAUCGCCCUCUUCCUCGCCGUGAUUCCACAAUCACACUUUAUCUUUACAUACAUCACAAAAACAAUGAGAUGUGUGAGUAUCAUUAGAAAUACUCAGUGAAGCGAUCCUCCCAUCUACUAGGUUAUACACACAGGCAUAAUAAGACUAUCAAACAUUCAUAAGAUCAAUCAAAACAACCAAACCAGGUAUAAACUGACCCGACUACUCGCUGUCCAGAAACAUUACUGUCCAGAAAACUGGUGUCGAUCAACACAGACACCAGGUUGGUGUCAACCGACACCCGAACUGGUGCCGAUCGGCACAAGCUCCAAAGGAACCCUGAAAUCGCAUCUCCUCUCCCUAGAGAUCAAUUCAAACACUUCUAGGCUCCAAACUUAAAUCCUAAACCAUCAAUAGACACAAAACAACAUCCAUAACACACAAACAAGCCAAAACACAAUAAUUUCAGCCACCCAAAUAAAUCAAACACACAUCAUAAGGUCUUAUAUGCUCAUAUCAACCAUGGUCACUGAUAAGUCUGUAUUUCAUCGCUUUUUGAGCAUGCAUUCAUCAUCUUUUCAGCAUCAUUCACUUGUUGAUACGCAUCAUAUUGAUCCCUUUCUGCAUGUUUUACAUACUUAGGUAGGUUUUAUGCAUAUCAUGCAUAUCUUGCAUACAUUGUGCAUAUUUGGAGUGUUUCAGGUACUUAGGAGACAUGCAGAGCGAAGCAGAGGAACAAGCGUUACUCGACAUGCACACGAUCGAGUGGGACGAUCGAGUGAGAAGCAAGGAUGCGUUGCAGUUACAUCGACGAUCGAGGGAGAAGCAGACGUAUACGAUCGAGUGGCAGAUCGAGCAGAAGGGAAGCGAAGCAGAACCACCUGUCACUCGAUGCACUCACUCGAGUGACAUGAUCGAACAAAGCAAAGAAGUAGCUGAUGGUUUCACAGGUCACUCGACACGAUCACUCGAGGAACACGGUCGAGUAUGAAAUGAUGCAGAGAAGAAAUUAAGUGUUACUCGACGCGCUCACUCGACCGACAUGACCAUUACUACUUUUAAACCGCUUUUACGUUGUUGUUUUAUGUUUUAAGGUUUUCCCAAACAUUGUUAUAAAUAGGUCUCAUUUGGAUUGUCCAAGGGAUCGAGUUUAUUUUUAUUAGGUUUUUGUUGUUAGCCACCAAACGAUCCUGAGAAUUGUAAUCGUGAUUUCUUUUGAGUCAUUGAUAUUUUGCAGUUAGUUCUUGAAUCAUUGUUGUUACUCUUCCUGUCAUCUUUAUUAUUAUGCAUGUUUUGAACGAUUCUUGUUUCAUGAUGUUUAACAUGAUUUCUGCAUCUGAGUAGUGUUAGGGUUCUUGAGGAUGGGAUAGAUUAGGUGGAGGAUGUUAGUUUGCUAGAGUGUUUAAGUUAGAUUUGUUUUGUUUCCCUUCUGGACUAGAGUUUUAUUAGCUAGUUCUUCUCUGAUCAAUUGGAACUGGGUCAUAGACAUUUCAUACCCAAAAGGUAUAUGAUGCAAUGUCUGAACCAACUAGUGCCAGAGAUUUACAUGCUUAGCCCAAGAGAUUGGUUGUCUAAGAUGUUUAUUGACAUUAAUGAGCUGUUUUUUUAUGCUUGUUUACUGCAUGUUUCAUCAAUGAGAAUUGAGAUUAGGAAGUGUUGUAAACUUGAUAGUUUCUGCCAAGAGAUUGGAUUGACUAGUAUUAGAAGUUCAUUGUCUAGGGAUUAGAAUGUUUGCAGUUUGAUAAACACUCGAAGUAGAUUAGCAUACUCCACCUACAUCAAUAACCUCAUCCUCGGGAUAUUCUAUCCAUUUAUGCUUUCUGUUUAAUUCUCUUGUUAUUUACUUGGUCUGCUUUGUUUUCUUGCCAGUAUCAAUAGUCGUUACGUUUUAGUUUAUGCAUGGUAGUCGAUAUUUUACAGCUUUACAUUUAUCGCAUGUUUAACAUGUUCGCUUAGGAUCACUGAAAACCAAAAAUCAUUUAUGCUUGCUUGACUUAAUCAUUUCUGAUAUAUCUUGAUUGCUAGCAUCACACCUGAUUGGAUUGAUACCUAUUGUACUGCAAUGACAUGAUAGUACUCUAGGGUAAUUGAUAGUUAAAUCCUAGUAUCAAUUUGGCGCCGCUGCCAUUUGGGUGUUUGUGUGUUACAUUUGAGAUUUCAGACCUGCUAAGAUCAAGUUUUUACUCAACAUUCACUACAGUUACUCACUCUGUUCCUUCUGUUUGUCUAUUGAUUCAGGUACAACUCUUGCUCAACUGCUCCUACUCGAUUGACACACUCAACCGAUAAGAGAGAUAAACUGAUUUGAGUUGUAUGCACACACGGUCGCAAGGCACAGAGAACUUGUUCCAGCCCUCCGACCGUAUUGAUCGCUUGGUACCUGCAUCACGACAGCAACGCAACAGAGUUACACCACCCCAAGUGGAGAUGGAAAACAUUCAACCACCACCCCCACCACGGGCACCUACACGGAUUGGAGCUAGUGAUGGUCCACGCAACCAUACCCAUCGUCAGGGUAUAGUGCCUCCAGCCGUGGCGAACAACAACUUUGAGAUCAAGAGUAGUCUGAUCUCCAUGGUCCAGCAGAAUAAAUUUCAUGGUCUGCCUAUGGAAGACCCCCUGGAUCACCUUGAUGAGUUUGAUCGUCUCUGCAGUCUCACCAAGAUCAAUGGGGUCAGUGAGGACGGUUUCAAGCUACGUCUCUUUCCAUUCUCUUUGGGUGACAAAGCUCAUCAAUGGGAGAAAACUCUUCCUCCAGGAUCUAUCACUUCCUGGGAUCAAUGCAAGCAGUCGUUUCUUGCCAAGUUUUUCUCUAACUCUAGAACUGCACGUCUGCGCAAUGAGANNNNNNNNNNNNNNNNNNNNNNNNNNNNNNNNNNNNNNNNNNNNNNNNNNNNNNNNNNNNNNNNNNNNNNNNNNNNNNNNNNNNNNNNNNNNNNNNNNNNCUGGGUUCACUCAGAAGAAUGGAGAAACGCUUUGUGAAGCCUGGGAACGCUUCAAAAGUUAUCAGUCUCAGUGCCCCCACCAUGGCUUCACCAAGGAGUCUCUCCUCAGUACUCUUUAUCGGGGUGUUCUCCCAAAGAUCCGGAUGUUGCUUGACACUGCCAGCAAUGGCAACUUUCGGAACAAGGACGUCGACGAAGGUUGGGAGCUUGUUGAGAACCUAUCCCAAUCUGAUGAGAAGUACAAGAAGGAGAUGAAGGCUGUGAAUGACAAGUUGGACAAGCUAUUGAUGAGCCAGCAGAGGAACAUCCAUUACGUCUCUGAAGACGACCCUUUCCAGAUUCUGAAUGGGGAGGGAGAACAAUCUGAGGAGAUAAGUUAUGUCCAGAACCAAGGUGGAUACAAUAAGGGAUACAAUCCUUAUAAGCAGAAUCCCAAUCUGUUUUAUAGGAGCACCAAUGUUGCAAAUCCCCAGGAUCAGGUUUAUCCACCUCCACAACAGCAGGAGCAGGGGCAGAACAAACCAUUUGUGCCCUACAACCAAGGUUAUGUGCCCAAACAACAAUUUCAGCAAGGUUACCAACCUCCAGCAGGANNNNNNNNNNNNNNNNNNNNNNNNNNNNNNNNNNNNNNNNNNNNNNNNNNNNNNNNNNNNNNNNNNNNNNNNNNNNNNNNNNNNNNNNNNNNNNNNNNNNAGCACAUGAAAAACAUGCUUCAGCAACUCCUACAGGGACAAGCAAGUGGCUCCAUGGACAAUGUUAAGAAGUUUGCUGAGCUGACUCAGAGAUUGGACUGCUCAUACAAUGAUCUGAACAUGAAGAUUGAGACUCUGAAUUCCAAGAUCAAGUAUAUGGAGGGUAAAACUGCUUCUUCUUCUGCCCCAAAGUCUGGCCAACUCCCAGGAAAAGCUGUUCAGAAUCCUAAGGAGUUUGCUCAUGCCAUCAUGCUGAGGAGCGGUAAAAACUUGCCUCCCAGACAAGGACCCGUUGUAGUCACUGAGGACAGUGAAGACUUGGGAGGGGAGGAUGUAUGUCCGAAUGAAGAUCCGGUUGUUCCUUUGGAAGAAUCAGAAGUCGUACCUGAAGAAGCUCCUCAACCUGCUGAGAAACAUGCUGAAACACCUGCAGCAUCCAAGGAUAAGCCUGCGAGAUACGUUCCCCCACCAUACAAACCACCUCUACCAUUUCCAGGACGAUUCAAAAAGCAGCAAGCUGAGAAGUAUAAGGCUUUAUUUGAAAAGCAAGUGAGAGAGAUUGAGUUGAGAAUGCCAUCACUAGAUGCAUUCGCACUUGUCCCUCCUUAUCAGAAGUUCCUCAAAGAUUUGGUUAUGGAGAGAACAAAAGAAGUCCAGCGCAUGGUGAUAUUGAGUCGUGAAUGCAGUGCCAUUAUCCAGAAGAAGAUCACUCCCUUGAAGCUUAAGGAUCCUGGAUCCUUCACUCUACCCUGCUCACUAGGCCCCCUAUCUUUCAGCAGAUGCCUAUGUGAUCUUUGAGCUUCUGUGAGUCUUAUGCCAUUGUCUGUGGCUAAGCAUUUAUGAUUCACAAGAUACAAGGCAUGCAACAUAUCUCUCAUUCUAGCUGACAGAUCAGUGAGGCUCCCACAUGGACUCUUGGAAGACCUGCCAAUAAGAAUUGGUGUUGUUGAAGUUCCCACAGAUUUUGUUGUCUUGGAAAUGGAUGAAGAGCCUAAAGAUCCUCUAAUUUUUGGAAGACCAUUCCUAGCCACUGCUGGAGAUAUCAUUGAUGUUAAGAAGGGGAAGAUAGACUUAUGCUUGGGAGAAGACUUCAAGAUGACAUUUGACAUCAAGGAGUCUAUGAAGAAACCAACAAUCAAUGGCAAGGUGUUCUGGAUAGAGGAGAUGGAUCAGCUAGCUGAUGAACUUUUAGAAGAACUUGCUGAGGAGGAUCAUCUCAAGACAGCUUUGACAAAGAAUGGAUCAGAUGGAUUUCUUCAUGUUGAGACAAAUGUCUACGAAACGUUAUUGGAUACCUACAAGGCAACUGAUGAUUCAGAACGUUUUGAGGAAUUGGAUAAGUCUGUCAAGGAGGUAUGCACAGUAGAGGAGGAAGUCAGUGGCAGCCCGAUGACUCACCAUGCUGUUGACCCUGUCAAUGCGGCUGAUAAUGACUGGUCAGAGUUAAAAGCUCCCAAGGUUGAGCUCAAACCGCUACCCUCGGGACUGAGGUAUGUAUUCCUUGGAUCCAACUCUACUUAUCCUGUCAUUGUGAAUGCUAGCUUGAGUAAUGAGGAAUUAGAGUUGCUAGUCACUGAGCUUAGAAAAUAUAGAAGGGCCAUAGGUUAUUCCUUAGAUUAGAUCAAGGGGAUCUCACCUAGUCUCUGCAUGCAUAGGAUUAAUCUGGAAAACGAAUCAUACUCUAGUAUUGAACCUCAAAGGAGACUGAAUCCUAACCUUAAAGAAGUUGUGAAAAAUGAAAUUCUUAAACUGUUGAAUGCUGGGGUUAUCUAUCCUGUCUCUGAUAGUACUUGGGUAUCCCCAGUACAUUGCGUACCCAAGAAAGGGGGAAUUACAGUGAUAAAAAUGAAAAAGAUGAAUUGAUCCCCACUAGGACUAUCACUGGCCAUAGGAUGUGCAUUGAUUACAGAAAACUGAAUGCUACAUCUAGGAAAGAUCAUUUUCCUCUUCCUUUCAUUGAUCAAAUGUUAGAACGAUUAGCCAAUCAUCCCUACUACUGUUUCCUUGAUGGGUAUAGCGAAUUUUUCAAAAUUCCUAUCCACCCAAAUGAUCAGGAAAAGACUACUUUCACUUGUCCCUAUGGCACAUUUGCCUACAGACGCAUGCCUUUUGGUUUGUGUAAUGCACCUGCAACAUUUCAAAGGUGUAUGACCUCUAUAUUCUCGGAUUUGAUAGAGGAGAUGGUGGAGGUAUUCAUGGAUGAUUUUUCCGUGUAUGGCUCCUCCUUCUCCUCAUGUUUGUUGAAUCUCUGCAGGGUAUUAGUAAGAUGUGAGGAUACAAGCCUAGUGCUCAACUGGGAGAAGUGCCACUUCAUGGUGAACGAAGGGAUAGUGUUGGGACACAAGGUAUCAGAGAAAGGGAUUGAGGUUGAUAAGGCAAAGAUUGAGGUCAUGGUGCAGUUGUAGUCUCCCAAGUCAGUCAAGGAUAUAAGAAGUUUCCUUGGCCAUGCUGGAUUUUACAGAAGAUUCAUCAAGGACUUCUCAAAAAUUGCAAGACCCCUUACAAGACUGCUGUGCAAGGAGGUCGAGUUUUUCGUUGAUGAGAGCUGUCUGGAAGCUUUCAACAAGAUCAAGGAAGCGUUAGUCUCAGCACCAAUAGUCCAAGCUCCAGACUGGGAUCAUCCUUUUGAGAUAAUGUGCGAUGCCUCAGAUUAUGCAGUAGGGGCUGUGUUGGGGCAGCGAAUAGAGAAGAAACUGCAUGUCAUCUAUUAUGCGAGCAGAACCCUUGAUGAGACACAAGGGAGGUAUGCAACAAUAGAGAAAGAGCUUUUGGCUGUAGUCUUUGCGUUCGAGAAAUUCAGAAGUUACUUGGUAGGAUCAAAAGUUGUAGUCUACACAGAUCAUGCUGCGCUUAGGCAUAUAUACUCCAAGAAGGAUACCAAGCCGAGACUGCUGAGAUUGAUACUUCUACUCCAGGAGUUUGAUAUGGAGAUUGUUGAUAAGAAGGGGAUAGAGAACGGCGUUGCUGAUCAACUGUCCAGAAUGAGAAUAGAAGAUCCAAUCCCUAUUGAUGACUCUUUGCCUGAAGAACAUCUUAUGGUUGUUGAGAUAUGCAAGAAGAUGCAUCAAACAGGAAUGGCUAUGAAGGAGCUUCAAUGUCUAGCAGUCAAUUCAGAGAGUAUGCCCUGGUAUGCGGAUGUGGUGAACUACAAGGUCUGUGGAGAGAUUCCUGCAGACAUGGAUCCUUAUAGGAAAAAGAAGUUUUUCAGAGAUGUCAACCACUACUUCUGGGAUGAACCUUACUUGUACAAGAGAGGUUCAGAUGGGCUGUUUAGGAGAUGCAUAGCAGAAGGAGAAGUGCAGGGAGUGCUUGAGCACUGUCAUGGGUCCGCAUAUGGAGGACACUUCGCUACAUUCAAGACAGUUCAGAAGGUUCUACAAGCAGGCCUUUGGUGGCCAACGUUGUUCAAGGAUACAAACAGUUUCAUCACCAAGUGUGACGCUUGCCAGAGGAUGGGUAACAUCAACAGAAGGAAUGAGAUGCCUCAGAACCCGAUUUUGGAAGUAGAAAUUUUUGAUGUUUGGGGAAUUGAUUUCAUGGGACCGUUCAACCCUCCAUCAAAUGGCAACGUCUACAUUCUGGUUGCAGUCGAUUAUGUUUCAAAAUGGGUUGAAGCCAUUGCAAGUCCCACCAAUGAUCACAAGGUUGUUCCAAAACUGUUCAAGAGCANNNNNNNNNNNNNNNNNNNNNNNNNNNNNNNNNNNNNNNNNNNNNNNNNNNNNNNNNNNNNNNNNNNNNNNNNNNNNNNNNNNNNNNNNNNNNNNNNNNNCAGGUAUGGAGUACCAAGAGCAGUGAUCAGUGAUGGUGGUACACACUUCAUCAACAAAGUUUUUGAAAGCAUGUUGAAGAAGUAUGGUGUGAAGCAUAAGGUGUCUACAGCCUACCAUCCCCAGACAUGUGGACAAGUUGAGGUCUCCAACAAGCAGAUAAAAGGAAUCUUGUCAAGAGUUGUUGGGGCUUCGAAAAAAGAUUGGUCUACCAAGUUGGAUGAUACUCUAUGGGCGUACAGAACAACUUUCAAGACACCAAUAGGAAGGACGCCUUUUCAGUUGGUGUAUGGUAAAGCAUGUCAUUUCCCUGUGGAGAUUGAGUAUAAGGCGCUUUGGGCUAUCAAGCUUCUGAACUUGGACAUUGAUGCAGCCCAGGCUAAGAGAGUUCUUGACAUCCAUGAACUUGAGGAAAUCAGACUUGAUGCUUUUGAAAGUUCAAAAAUCUACAAGGAGAGAACCAAAGCUUUCCAUGACAAGAGGAUUGUUGUUAAGGAGCUUAAGGCUGGAGAUCACGUUUUGCUGUUCAAUUCCUGACUUAAGCUGUUUCUUGGAAAGCUCAAAUCUAGAUGGUCUGGACCAUUUGAAAUCAAGGGUGUUUUGCCAUUUAGUGCAAUCACUCUCCUGAACAAGGAUGGCAGCGAGUUUACUGUUAACGGUCAACGUGUCAAGCGUUACCUAGCUGAUCAAGAGAAACCAGAGGGGUCCUCCAUGCCUCUCUAUGAGUCUCCCAGAGCCUAAAAAGCAUAAAAGUCAAGCUUAGUGACUUUAAACAAGCUCACUUGGGAGGAAGUCCCAAAGGUAUCCCUGUACAUAUCGCUUAGGAUUUUUUGUGUUUUUGAUUUUUGUUUUUGGUUUUCUGGUUAUUAGGAAUUCAGACAGAUGGAGUGAUGCAAUGAAUAUCAGAGGAGAUAUGCAGAAAAAGUGAAAAACAUGGAGUGGGAGACAAUUAUUUGGUUGGGUUGCANNNNNNNNNNNNNNNNNNNNNNNNNNNNNNNNNNNNNNNNNNNNNNNNNNNNNNNNNNNNNNNNNNNNNNNNNNNNNNNNNNNNNNNNNNNNNNNNNNNNCAAAAAUCUUAUCCCUCUCACUCGACAUUUCUCUCCAUCACUCGUUUUUCUCUCUCACUCCAUCUUCUCGCUCGACACACCGUUACUCGACCAUCACCACUCGAGCUGUCUCUCGUCUCACUCACCCGUCGCGGAUACUCGACCGGACCAGCCCACUCGACCGCACUCGAACUGUGUGGCUAUCUACUCGAUCGUCUCACUCACCCGUCGCGGAUACUCGACGUGACCAGCCCACUCGACGAUAAAGCUCUCACUCGACCGGUCCAGCCCACUCGACCAGCCCACUCGACCGCACUCGAACUGUGUGGCUAUCUACUCGAUUGGCUCACAACCGUCUACUCCCAUCCCACCGGCCAAGCGAGCUCCUCGUCACUCGAGCUGCGCACCACCUCCUCACUUAAACCACGGAUUCAUCUCACUCGAUUCUCCAUCUCUCGCCUCCUCACUCGACCUGUGCAUCCCUUACUCGACAACAGAGUACACAACUGCUCACUCGACGGAGGAACCUCACCGCCACUCGUCCAGAGAACCGUUCGCGAAGCUUUCACUCGUCCCACCAACUUACUCGAGCUGCACACCACCUCCUCACUUGACCGUCGUCACUUCUUUCACUUGGCGCGUGUUGCUCACUCGACCGGAGUCCAUCACGGGUUACUCGACAAGCAGACCAAGGCUCACUCGAUCCAUCUUCUCCCACUCGGCUAAGCUCACCCGACGUACUCCAUCCACUCGACGCGCAUGAAUUUCCCAACCACACACUCGAUCGACUCCAUCCACUCGACCAAAUUCACCAAGGUUCACCCGACUGCAUAGUGUGACCGUGACAAAUUUGCUAAGUGUUACUUCCCUUGGCAUUUCUCUAUAUACAUUGGCUAUUUUAUCUUGAUAUUUGGCACACUAACGAGCUAAUUUUUAGCUUUGAGUUUCAACUGUUUCAGUUUCACAAUGUCAAGAGAUUUGUUGCAUGAAAUGCGUAAGAAGUAUGGUUGUAAACCAACAGAGCGUGCAUCUCCUCAGUCUAUGUCCAAGGUCUAUAUGGAGAAGAAGAAAGCUGCAUAUGAGAGAGUGAAAGAACGCAUCCCAUUUCUUUUCUUUUAAACAUGCAAACCGGAUUAAUCCAAUUAAUUCGAACCAGCUAAACCGGCCAUAAUAAUUUAAAUCAAUUAAACCAAGCAAUCUCAUUAAAGUAAACCAACAAUAUUAUCCAGCGGAAGACUUAACCAAAAAUCCAAUAAAACAAUUCCAUUAAACCAACAAGUUCAACCAAACAUUAUUCUAAAACAUGAUCAUCCUAACAUGUUUCUAAAUUCCAUUCUAACACCCUAACAAAUCCAACAAUAAUCUAAAACACCAAUGAGUGCCUAGAUCAUCCUCCUCUCCUCGCCAUGAUUCCACGGAUCACACUUUGCUUUUACUUGCAUCAAAGAAAGAGAUGUAUAAGUAUUUCAUAAAUACUUAGUGAGGGCGAUCCUCCCAUCUACGAGCUAUACACACAAGCAAUGAGACAACACCCACAUAUAUAACAAAAACAAACCAUCCAGCAAGCUAAACAUCCAAUAACACAUCCAGUUCACCUACAAAUCAUCACACAACAAGUCACUCCAUCCCAAUCGCUUAGAUAAGCUCAUGGUCACGCACUCACCUUAACAAGGUGAUUUGAAUUAAAAAAACAAACAGGAAAUACUCUCUUCGUGACUGCAACAGCCAAACAACGCCCUACAACAAACCACACAAACACAAAUCUCUAAGAACCAAAAGGACAGAAACAUCAAAAAAAACUACAGCCUCAGAAACGAAGCCCUAAAACAUAAACUAACCGUUAUAUUCUUAAUCCCUACGGUGAAAAGCAAAAUUUAGACUUCACGAAGCUCCCCACAAUAUUUGGUGCCGAUCGGAGAAACGAUGAAACCACGAUCGCACUUACAAACUCCGCUGAUCCCAGUUCGCAACAGAGAAAACGCGUCUCACCAAACUGCAUAUAACUCACUGAAUAUUAAUCCGAAUUCAUUUCCGUAAAAAGGAGAAUCAACGUACACGCCUUAAGAACAAACCUACCAAAAUUCAUUACCUUUCGAUAAGAUUUGAUACGUCGUAACUCUAUUCUACCAGAACGUGACGAAUCUGCUUCUCUUACCUUAAACACCAAAGCAAAGCUAACACUCUCCUUUUCACAAGUAAACUUCUCCUUCUCCUUUUCUCAACUCAACUCUCAGAAACAACAGCUACAAAACAAAAGAGAGAAGAAGCGUUCUUUAUAAAACUAGGGUUUUUGGUUUAAUUUUGAUUAAACCAGAAUUUACCUAAACCGACUUUAAUUAAACCUGCUUUGGUUCAAUUAAACAAAUCGACCAGUUUAGAAAAUCAACCGUAUCUUCUCUGAAGUCUCCUGAACAAAAUCCGCACCAUAAAUGCUCCUCUCCCCCACUUGAGUCCAGCAUAGAGGUGUCCGACAUGGCCUCCCAUACAACGCCUCAUAAGGAGCCAUCCCAAUACUCGCCUGGUAGCUAUUAUUAUAAGCAAACUCCACCAAGCUCAAGUGAUCUGCCCACUGACCACCCCAGUCUAACACACACAUUCUCAACAAAUCCUCAAGUGUCUGAAUGGUCCGCUCAGACUGCCUGUCUGUCUGAGGGUGGUAAGCCGUGCUCAAAUGCACCUUAGUACCCAUCUCCUUCUGGAAAGCCUUCCAGAACACCGAAGUGAACUUCGAAUCCCGGUCUGACACAAUACUGGCCGGUACUCCAUGAAGUCUCACAAUCUCCUGCACAUACUUCUUAGCUAGCACUGCCGCUCCAUCGGUUUUCUUGAUAGCCAAGAAAUGUGCAGACUUAGUCAAACGGUCCACAAUGACCCAAAUGGCAUCCUUGAACCGAGACAUUGGCAACCCUACCACGAAAUCCAUCGUGAUCAUGUCCCAUUUCCACUCUGGGAUAGGGAGAGUCCGCAAUAAUCCACUCGGCACCUGAUGCUCAGCCUUCACUAGCUGACAUACUUCGCACUCAGAGACCCAUUUAGCUACGUCUCUCUUCAUCCCGACCCAAUGAUAAUACCGCUUCAGAUCUCGGUACAUCUUGGUCGCUCCUGGAUGAAUAGAGAACCUACUCGCAUGAGCCUCACUCAAGAUCUCUCGUCUCAACUCCUCAUCCUUGGGCACACAAACUCGCCCAUGCACAAGGAUAGUCCCAUUGGCUGCAACCUGAUACUCUGACUCAGUAUCCUUAGAAGCAUUAACCAGCCCUGCAUCCUUCUCCUGAGCCGCUCGAACUCUGGUCAGAAGGUCUGCUUGGUUAGCUGCUUCUAACCCUAGUGGCUCCUGAGAAAUAGCACACAACCGCAAGGUGCUAAGUUCUCCCACCAAGGUCUCCAUAUCCUGCCCUCGAGCUGAAGCCGCGGCUCAGAGCAUCUGCAACCAGAUUAGCCUUACCGGAAUGGUAAGCUAUCUCCAGAUCAUAGUCUGCAACCAACUCCAUCCAGCGCCUCUGCCUCAAGUUCAACUCAGGCUGCGUGAAUAUAUACUUCAGACUCUUAUGAUCUGUAAACACCUGAACCUUCGCUCCAUACAGAUAAGAUCUCCAAAUCUUCAGAGCAAAGACCACUGCUGCCAUCUCCAAAUCAUGAGUAGCGUAGUUGCCCUCAUGCUUCCGCAACUGCCGCGAAGCAUAGGCGAUCACCUUACCCUGCUGCAUCAACACACAACCCAAACCAACUCCCGAAGCGUCCGUGUACACCACAUACGGCUCUCCCUGCUCCGGUAAAGCCAAAACCGGCGUACUCGUCAACAUAUCCUUGAGUUGAGCGAAACCCUGCUCACACUCAGGAGUCCACACAAAAGGAACAUCCUUCCCCGUCAACUUGGUCAUUGGCUGAGCUGUACUGGCAAAGCCCUUCACAAACCGUCUGUAGUAACCCGCCAAUCCUAGAAAACUCCGUAUCUCUGUGGCAUUCUGCGGUCUAGGCCAAUCUCUGAUAGCCUCAAUCUUCUCUGGAUCCACAGAAAGUCCCUCUACAGACACGAUAUGACCCAGAAAACACAUCUUGCUCUACCAGAAACUACACUUGCUCAGCUUAGCAUACAGCUUCUGGUCCCGCAGCUUCUCCAACACUGCCCGCAAGUGUAUCUCGUGCUCCUCAGGACUCUUAGAAUACACCAGGAUAUCAUCAAUGAAGAUGAUGACAAACUCAUCCAGAAACGCCUGGAACACGCUGUUCAUCAGCCUCAUAAACGCCGCUGGUGCAUUAGUCAACCCGAAAGGCAUCACCACGAACUCAUAAUGCCCAUACCUCGUCCUGAACGCCGUUUUAUGGAUAUCUGCCUCGUCGAUAGGAAUUUGAUGGUACCCCGACGCCAAAUCGAUCUUAGAAAACCAUGUAGCUCCCCUCAACUGGUCCAACAACUCGUCAAUCCGCGGCAAAGGAUACUUGUUCUUCACCGUGACUCGAUUAAGUCCCUUGUAAUCGAUACACAGCCGGAAACUCUCAUCCUUCUUCUUAAAGAAAAACACCGGUGCUCCCCACGGUGAAACACUAGGACGGAUGAAACCCUUGCCCAGCAGAUCCUCCAACUGUUUCUUCAGCUCAGCCAUCUCUGCUGGAGCCAUCCGGUACGGAGCCUUAGACAACGGCGUUGUCCCGGGCUCCAACUCAAUCGUGAAGGGAUCAGACCGAGAUGGUGGUAACCCCUUUAACAGCUGAAACACAUCCUCGAACUCCUGGACCACCCAGAUCUUAUCCACUACUACCUCAUCGACCGUCUCUAGCAUGACAAUCGUAGCCAAAUAAGCUUCCCGUCCCUUUCGGAUCAUCUUAUCCGCCUGAAUCGCCGAAAUCACUAAACUCCCUGAAAUCGGUCUCACACCCUGGAAAUACAUCUUCGGUCCGGGACGCUCGAAGUAUACUCUCCCCCGGUGACAAUCCAGAUGAACUCUGUGCCGCUCCAACCAAUCCGUGCCCAGAAUUACAUGAUACAACUCCAUCGGACUAAUGUAUAGAUCUGCCGGCAUCGACUCUCCCGCAAUCUGUACAUCCACACCACUAGCCCGCCACUGAACCGCUAGCAAAGCGCCUCCUGCGACUCUAACGGCUCCAUAACAACCAUCGGGAUCUCCUCGGAUGUUACCACCCAUCGCGCACUCUGGGGUAAUGAAGCUAUUCGUAGCUCCAGAAUCAAACAUCACGUGGGACAAGAACCCGCCCACCAACAGGGUCCCUACACAAACCCUUUUCACUAAGACCGCCCACCCCAAAAUCACAGGAAAACAACACAAAUUCUAAAACAACGGAAGGAAACCAAAUGAGUCUUAGAAUUAAACCUGUUAUCGGCCGUCCAGUGCUUGGCUCUCCUGUCUCCACGGUCGUAUACCCCCUCGAUCCCUCGAUCUAUGCCACCGGCGGUGCUCCCAGCUGAGCCAACGACUGCCCUGCCAGCUGCAAUCCUGGCUGCACCCACUAUUGCAUCACUGGCUGCAUCACCGGCUGCACCGCUGCUACCGCCAUCUCCUGCAACUUAGGACAUCUCGUCUUAAUGUGCCCCGUCUCUAUGCAGUGAUAACAGACACGUGUAUCCACCCACGGCUCGCCCUUCUUCGGGCAGCUCGCCACACUGUGAUCCGUGCUCCCACACCUGAAGCACCUCCGAACACCUUGACUUACCCUGGAAGUGUCAUCCCACUUCCUCUUCUGUCCCUGAGCAGGUUUGCCACCUCUGCUCGGAACCGACUGCGGCUGGGUCUUCUUCGGCUGCGCCGAUGGACUAGGAAUCACCCCGUGACUCCUCAACUCGUCCUCGAUCCCCGCCGCCACUUCAACCAGCUCCAUACGCGAUGCAUAAGCCCGCACCUUGCACCGCACCCUCAUAUCAGGGUUGAGACCCUUCAUGAACCGACGCACCUGCAUCUGCUCAGGAUCUCCCGCACGCCCCGAGUACACCAAAAGUCGGCUGAACUCCGAGUCGUACUCCCGCACCGACCGCUCGCCCUGAGUCAACGCCAGGAACUGCGACUCCAUCCGGUCCAGUGCCUCCGCCGGAAAAUACUUGGCAUUAAACUCUGCCAAGAAAUCUCCCCACACCGCCAAUCCCUGCCCCCUCUUGGCCAGCACACUCCGCCACCACAAAUGUGCAUCACCCGCCCAGUAGUGGGCCGCUAGGUCCACCCGAUACGCCUCUGGGCAUCUCAUCGACUGGAAAUACCGCUCCAAUCGCACCCGCCACUCAUCCGCUAUGGCUGGGUCGGAACCUCCGAAGAACAAGGACAUCCCGAACCGUUGCAGCUGCUCCAACAUCCGCAGGUAGUACGGCUGCUCAACCACCGCACCUACCCCCUCAGGCGGUACAACCCCAACAACAGGCUGCACACCAGGCACAAGAGGAGCCUGCACCUCAGACCCAACAGGAGCCUGCUACUCAGGCCCAACAGGAGCCUGCACCGGCAGUACCACACCCGGUAACCGCUCCAAGAGCUGCGUCAGUAAAUCCGCAAGUCGAUCAUUCUGACCCUGGGCUGCACCUGUUGGAACACCCCCAACCGGGUUUCCAACAACACUAGUACCGUUCCCGGACGAACUGGCUCCCACGGCACUCACACUCUCACCACCCACGAGCCCGUCCUGAUGCGACUGAGACUCACCAACAAAAUCGGCCGUAGCAUUCCGGCCCACACUCGUGUCGCUACCCGAGGCAACACCACGCCCCCUACCACGACCACGCCCACGACCACGACCACGACCACGACCGACAGCUCCACCUCUAACCAUCUACAACACAACAGAAUGCUAAGAACACCAAACAAAUAACCAAACGACACAACUUACCGUGGAAUCUCAUUGAAGGCUCGAGAGGAUGAUCUAGGUCUCCAUGCUCACACAAUUGAUUAAACACACAAUCAAUCAGCAUGAAAUUCACAUCAUCAUUCCUCAUCAAUGAAAUUCACACAUCACAUCAUAAUUUUUACCAAUUAAAUCUCGUACUAGAACCGUAAAUGCUCUACUACCAAAUUGAAAGAACCCGUCCCAUUUUUUUUCUUUUAAACAUGCAAACCGGAUUAACCCAAUUAAUUCGAACCAGCUAAACCGGCCAUAAUAAUUUAAAUCAAUUAAACCAAGCAAUCUCAUUAAAAUAAACCAACAAUAUUAUCCAGCGGAAGACUUAACCAAAAAUCCAAUAAAACAAUUCCAUUAAUCCAACAAGUUGAACCAAACAUUAUUCCAAAACAUGAUCAUCCUAACAUGUUUCUAAAUUCCAUUCUAACACCCUAACAAAUCCAACAAUAAUCUAAAACACCAAUGAAUGCCUAGAUCAUCCUCCUCUCCUCGCCAUGAUUCCACGGAUCACACUUUGCUUUUACCUGCAUCAAAGAAAGAGAUGCAUAAGUAUUUCAUAAAUACUUAGUGAGGGCGAUCCUCCCAUCAACGAGCUAUACACACAAGCAAUGAGACAACACCCACAUAUAUAACAAAAACAAACCAUCCAGCAAUCUAAACAUCCAAUAACACAUCCAGUUCACCUACAAAUCAUCACACAACAAGUCACUCAAUCCCAAUCGCUUAGAUAAGCUCAUGGUCACGCACUCACCUUAACAAGGUGAUUUGAAUUAAAAAACAACCAGGAAAUACUCUCUUCGUGACUGCAAUAGCCAAACAACGCCCUACAACAAAUCACACAAACACAAAUCUCUAAUAACCAAAAAGGACAGAAACAUCAAAAAAACUACAGCCGCAGAAACGAAGCCCUAAAACGUAAACUAACCGUUAACUUCUUAAUCCCUACGGUGAAAAGCAAGAUUUAGACUUCACGAAGCUCCCCACAAAAAUUUGGUGCCGAUCGGAGAAACGAUGAAACCACGAUCGCACUUACAAACUCCGCUGAUCUCAGUUCGCAACCGAGAAAACGCGUCUCACCAAACUGCAUAUAACUCACUGAGUAUUAAUCCGAAUUCACUUCUGUAAAACGGAGAAUCAACGUACACGCCUUAAGAACAAACCUACCAAAAUUCAUUACAUUUCGAUAAGAUUUGAUACGUCGUAACUCUAUUCUAUCAGAACGUGACGAAUCUGCUUCUCUUGCCUUAAACAUCAAAGCAAAGCUAACACUCUCCUUUUCACAAGUAAACUUCUCCUUCUCCUUUUCUCAACUCAACUCUCAGAAACAACAGCCACAAAACAAAAGAGAGAAGAAGCGUUCUUUAUAAAACUAGGGUUUUUGGUUUAAUUCUGAUUAAACCAGAAUUUACCUAAACCGACUUUAAUUAAACCUCCUUUGGUUCAAUUAAACAAAUCGACCAGUUUAGGAAAUCAACCGGAAUUAAACCGACUCCACCCUAAUUCUUAUACACAUUCAAGUCUCCUAUUAAUUUUCAGAACACGGGCGUUACAAUUCUCCCCCACUAACAUGGAUUCGUCCUCGAAUCCUUCAACAUGUCCGUCAGUACACCACUGACCUCUCCGAGGCUCCUAUCUAAUCAAUAUACUCACGUUCUAGACCCUAUUUUCUCAUACUCACCAACUUCCCCCGUCCACAGGUCGCAACCCAUGAAUCAUACCGGCUCUUCCUCAGGCCUCAGCCUUAGACUACGGUAUCCAGGAAGUCUCCCCACUCCCCCCGCUCUCAGGUCGCAACCCUCAAGUCAUACCGGCUCACUAUUAGGCCACCCGCCUUCUAGCUACGGUAUCCGGGAAGUCUCACGCUCGCUCUCGGGUCGUCACCCUCAAGCGUGCACUCGAAUCGUCAUCCGAGGCCAUCACAUCAUAUCCGAGCAAAUAAGUCUAAACGCCCCCGAGCAUAUCUCUCGAUCAGAUAUACCUCCCGUGGUCCACUUAUAGCAUCGCAAUGCUAUACUAACCACCACUCCGAGACUUUCCAAAAAUAGAACCGUCAAACCCGACACUUUCUAUUUUCUGAAACUCGCACAUAUUUCUCUUACACAUGACACAACAAGUCAAAUCCAAGAAUACUCAUCUUAUUAAUCUCUAAUGUCAUAAUCAUUACACCAAAAAUGAAAAUGCAAAAGAGAUACAACCAAAACAAAACUCAAAACAAAACAAGCCAACGGUCUACUCUUCGACCUGCUUGUCAAACCACUUCCGGAACCUUGCCUUCAUCCUGGCCACUGGCUCCCAAGUCUCCUCCAAGACUCCAUCACAGUCCCACUGGACUCUCAUCAAAGGAAUCUUCUUACGUCGAAGUUCCUUUACCCGCCUCUCGAGAACCCUCACUUGCUUCGCCUCCAAGGUCAUGGUAGGCUGAAGAUCUGCCGGGAUCGUAGCCAACACCUCAUCAUCCUUGUGAAGACACUUCCUCAGCAUCGACACGUGGAAUACCUUAUGAAAUGCAUGCAUUACCUCAGGUAACUCCAACCGAUAAGCCACCAGUCCAACCCGCUCCACAAUCUUGAAAGGACCCAUAAACCUCGGACUCAGCUUAGUCUCGGUAAGGGACCUGUUAGGACCACGCAACAUCGCCAUCUUGAGAUACACCAUAUCUCCAACCUCAAACUCCAACUCCUUACGCCUCUUAUCAGCAUAACACUUUUGCCGAUCCUGCGCCUCUCUCAUGUUCAGCUUCAGAACCCGAAUCUUCUCUGAAGUCUACUGAACAAAAUCCGCACCAUCAAUUCUCUUCUCCCCCUCUUGAGUCCAGCAUAGAGGUGUCCGACAUGGCCUCCCAUACAACGCCUCAUAAGCAUAGAGGUGUCCGACAUGGCUACGAUUGUCAUGCCCCGGGAGAGUAUUACAAGCUGUUUCAGCAGCAUGAGUUUCAGGGCACGAGGUAUCCUUGCCAGCAGACGAUGGAUGAGCUGACUAUCUCGAGUGAUGUCGAGUAUAUGUUCGAGCAUUGUCAUCUCAGCACACUCAUGACUAGUCAGCGAAAUGCAUACCGAGAGGAGACAAUUCAGUUCCUCUGUACGCUUGCCAUACAUCUUUAUGAGGAUGAUCCGGACAUAGAGUCGGAUGGAGGAUUGGGAUACAUCACCUUCACCAUCCAUGAUCAUGAGUAUCUGCUGACCAUCAGAGAGCUGGAAGGUUUGUUUGGAUUCCCUAAUGAAACAGGGACUGGGCAAAGGAUAGAUAGAGAUGAAUUGUUGGCUCUUUGGGAAACGAUUGGGAAUGAGAAGAAGUUUGCUUCAUCUAGGACCAAGAGCAACCACAUCAGAAGUCCUGUUAUCCGCUACUUACAUCGGUCAAUUGCAAACGUGUUCUUCGCGAGGGAGACAACAGGGACACUGAUCAACGGGGAGCUGGAGAUGAUUGAUCUUGCACUCAAAGAUCUCCUGUUAACAGCAGUAGAUGGGACACUACUGCGAGGUGAUACGAUUGAUACAUCCCCCUCGUUCACUCUGUUGCACCAGCUACUCAGUUACAGAACUUGGGUAGUGAAGCUGAGCAGCUGCAGAACUCAAGGAGUUAUGUGUAUGGGAGGGUUGGUGACAGUCAUCUUAGAAGCUUGUAGCGUCCCGCUGAGUUCAGAGCCUAUUGCCCCGAGAUUCAUCGACAUUCAGAAUUUGAGGCAAGCUCAAUGGUUGCAUUAGGAGAAACGGAACGGGUUAUAUAUGUACUACUUCACUCACCCUGCGCAUGGUGACGUGCGAUUUUUGCUUCCUUGUAUUGCUUUCACUAGGAUACUCGAAGGAAGCAACAUUGAGUUUACUCCCCCUGCAGAGGCUCUCUACACGACAAAUGGUGAGGAAGCGAUGGNNNNNNNNNNNNNNNNNNNNNNNNNNNNNNNNNNNNNNNNNNNNNNNNNNNNNNNNNNNNNNNNNNNNNNNNNNNNNNNNNNNNNNNNNNNNNNNNNNNNAAGAGGAUGAUGAGAUGGAAGAAGAUUCAGAUGAGUACAGACCAGAGAGGUACCACUUCAAGGACUACAAAGCGCCUAGACAAGGCAAGAGUUUGGUGGAAGCUCACAAGCGUAUCAGUACGCUUCAGAAGUGGAACAUGCUGCAAGACAAGGCAAUAAAAUCUAUGAAGUCGAAGAUGAAGAGCUUUAUGAGUAAGUUUAGCUGCGCCUCCACCACCACAGCUUUUGCAGACACUACUCCGCAGGAUGCUAGACCAGUGCAGCGUCGUUUGUCCACGAGUGAUGUCCCAGCACGCUACAGAACUCCUUCUCCAUCACGUCAUUCCGCUUAUGAGUAUAGAGAGCAUAAUGUUUCUUCUUCUCCUCUGAGACAGUCCUCCCCUGAGUUUAGGGCUAGCAAAAAGAAGGAGAAACGGAAAAAGAAGAAGGCAGCGAGUUCAUCACACUUGUCAGAGGAGCAUCAUGUUGAGGAUCUGACCAUGGAUCAAGCUGAGGAUCACAUUGAGGACCUGACUGUUGAUCCAGGUGCGUAUCAUUUCCAAGACCUCACUGCGGAUCCUGUCGAGCAGAACGUUGAGCAACCAGCAGAGGCUCCUCCUGUCCCGCCUGCACCAGGUGCUUAUACAAGCGAGUCCAUGACUCAAUACUUGGAUUGCUAUUUUCUGUAAGGUACCACUCCAAACCUUCAUCUGUAUAUACCAUUGCAUUUUCAUACUUUUGUUUGUUUGAUUCUCACACCAACUCUCAAAUUUUUAUUACACAAGAGACUGUGUAAUUUAAGUUUGGGGGAGGGUUUGGGAUGACAUUUGAUGUUGUGUUCUCUUUUCUUAUUUUGAAUUUUUAGCAUAUAAUUUGCAUUCAUAUAUGUGCAUUGAAAACCCCUAAAAAUUUGAAAAAUUUUCAGAAAAAAUCUUUAAAAACAGAGUGAUCAUGUAGCUUGCAUUUGCAUAUUAGGAUUGAGUCUAGAUUGUUUCAUGUAGGACUGUUGCAUUAGCAUAGGGGCGAUGAUGAGUUACACCUUGUUGAUUUGCUAUGAUUCACUAGUUGAGAUCAAUGCCCUGGUUGUUAGCUUUUUGAUGCAUGAUGAUUGAACUUGAAGUAAGUCUGAAACAAACUUGGAAUUCAUGAAGAGCAUUCUUGAACUUGGUUGAAACAUGUUGUGAUAUGAUCUCAUUCCUUACCCUAUAAGAACUUAAUCUUGACUUGCAAAUAUCUGGUUGUGUUUUGCUUGCAUGCUCAUGGUCACCAUAUACAUAUUUGGAUCAUCUUCCUCCUUUCACCACUCUUGUUGAUCCAAGUAGCUGAUCUUUCUUUUGAUCAGUUUGCCACACCCACAUCCUAUCCUUUUCUUUCAAGCCAAUUGAUAAUUUUUGAGUGGUAGGUCUUUUACCGGUUUAUGCUUGGGGAGAACGUGUUAGGUAUGAGCCGACAAGAUUAAAAUCUUGAGUAGUUCUGAUUUUCACUUUCAAAUCAGAUAGGACUAGGUCGGGAUUCUUACUUGGGUUUGGGAUUGGAAUGAUUGUGGAAAGAAAGAAGAGAAACAGAAAAAGUUGUGUCCUUAGGAGGAGAAUGUUUUCUAGAAGUUUAUAAUCUAGUGAUUGAUUUUUUGGGGUUAGCAUGAUAUACAGAGAAUGGUUCUGGGAUGUUAAGAAAGAGAAAAAGUUUUGAUGUCUUAUAACGUAAGAAGAAAACAGAACCAUAGUUAAGAAGAAAUCCCCUAUCCACUAGUAUUGAUAAGAAACUUCUCCUAAGGCAAAAAGCAAAAAGAAAAAAAUGGGAUUGAUGUUGAAGGGUAGACAUAGGGAUCAUCCGGGUUUAGAUGAUUAGGAGUAAGCACUUGGGAACCAUUGGGUAGUCAAGGUUUUAUUCCUGUAUGCAUUUGUUGGUCCUUACAUUUAGCAUUCUCCCUAAAACUCAAUCCAUUCAUUGAGAGAUCCUUGUCCUGAAAUUGUUUAAACCCUCAUGAUUCUCAAAACCUUUUUCUGCCUAGCCAAGUGAGUUUGUUAAGCCUUGCACAACCAGAUUCAUAUACUUGAAUAAUGAAUGUUAAAAGGAAUGAAUGAUUUGAAUGCAUGUGUAGAUCAAGGGAUAGAAUCAGUUUCGGAUUUGAUGAGUUUGUCUAAAGUCGUUAAGUAAAGUUCUCUCAGCAUGCAUCAAAGACUUAGCAACCAGGACAUUGAUUUUAACUGCUCUAUCUUGCAAGUUACAGGUUCUGAGACCCCAUUUUCAAACCUCUCUUCCACUUUGUUUCUUUUUGCUUUGCUUGAGGGCAAGCAAAGACUAAGUUUGGGGGAGUUGAUAAGUCUGUAUUUCAUCGCUUUUUGAGCAUGCAUUCAUCAUCUUUUCAGCAUCAUUCACUUGUUGAUUCGCAUCAUAUUGAUCCCUUUCUGCAUGUUUUACAUGCUUAGGUAGGUUUUAUGCAUAUCAUGCAUAUCUUGCAUACAUUGUGCAUAUUUGCAGUGUUUCAGGUACUUAGGAGACAUGCAGAGCGAAGCAGAGGAACAAGCGUUACUCGACAUGCACACGAUCGAGUGGGACGAUCGAGUGAGAAGCAAGGAUGCGUUGCAGUUACAUCGACGAUCGAGUGAGAAGCAGACGUAUACGAUCGAGUGGCAGAUCGAGCAGAAGGGAAGCGAAGCAGAACCACCUGUCACUCGCUGCACUCACUCGAGUGACAUGAUCGAACAAAGCAAAGAAGUAGCUGAUGGUUUCACAGGUCACUCGACACGAUCACUCGAGGAACACGGUCGAGUAUGAAAUGAUGCAGAGAAGAAAUUAAGUGUUACUCGACACGCUCACUCGACCGACAUGAC
rnacentral:lncRNA from 1 species